rnacentral:lncRNA from 1 species
GCUCUAUUUGUUUGGGAACGUAGUUCAGGUGGAAAUGCUGUUGAGAAAAAGAGUGUAUUCCUGCUUGUUUUCGUGAACAUGAACGUUCAGGAUUCUGCAGUGUUGUGUAUUGUGCAUCUUUAAUUUGAGCUACAAAUCAGUAAUUGAAAUAACGUUUAUUCCUAAUUGUGCGGCUCAUCAUGGUGGCAAGGUAUGCAAGCUGUGUAAUUGGAUACUUGGAGCCGUUUUGGCAGCAGAGAUUUUCAUAAAUGCAUUUAGUUCUGGAUCUAUAGUACAAGGCUUUUUCCUGACAUAGUUAAAUAUAUAACCAAUUAAAUCUCAUAAGAUUUUGCAUAAUAUUAUCAUGUGAUAUAAGAAAAAAAAAAUUAAACAUAUUACUGGGAUUGGGAAGAAAAAUUAUAAUAAAAUUAAGAAUCGAUAUCUUUAUGAAGAUUGAAAAACAAAAACAAGAUACAUCAAAAAAUAUGACAACAGUCAGGCACCAUAUUCUAAGGGAUUUGAUGUGAUGACUAAAAAUACCAAAAAUUAUUUUGAUAUAAUCAAGAAAGUUAAAUAAUGAUGUCAUAAAUUAGAAGACGAACAAAAACCCAUGCCAAACAUUAAAAUAGAUAGAAGAGAUAAAGUAGAAAAUUGUGGCAAUGACAAUUUCAUGGUGAGCAAACAAACUUUAUACAAAUGCAUUCAAAGGAAAUCAUUCUUUGAUCCAGACUUUGUAAAAUGUUGUGCAUCUGAAAUUUAAAGUUAGAGCAUGAAGAGUACAAGGUUGUUGUCUAGGGCUCAAUGUUAUUUACUGGAUUAUACUAACUUUAAGAAUUCAAUCAGAAGGGUGUACAUCAUGAAGCUCGAUGACGGGCUUUCAGCACAUGAAACAGAAUUCCCAAACACCAUCGCCGAAUAAAUACAAUCCACACAAACUAAGGCUACAGACUGCCCCAAUAAGCUUGUCUAGGUAUACGGUGCAGGAGAGAGAGGGCUCACCCCAUGUACAAAUCUAUAAUAUACCAAUGUAAGACACCUUAGUCAAAAACAACCCCUACUUGUUGCCAACAUGAUACAAUUUGAUUCUUAUAGAUCAUAGAACAUGAGGUUAAAGGCUCUGUCGGUGUGCUCCCAAUGCAGAAACGGCUGUAACAAUUACCACCGACUAACAGAUUUUAUCUAAGAUCAACGUUACCAAAAAAGAAAUUUGUGCGAGGAACGAGCAUGCAAAAGAACAUCAACAUCGGUGUCUGUCGGUUCAAUCAUAACCCGUGAAUCAGUCGACCGGGAUUGAAGGAACCGCCAGCUGAAGCCACUGCAGCAGGAUUCACCACUUUGAAAAAGAAAAGAGGUUUCGAGCUUUCACCCAACGAAGGCUCUCUCCGUUGCCACCAUAGAUUAGAUUUCAUUGUUUUGUGUGCCUUAUACAGGAAGCAUUCAACUCUGCAAUCAUAUGGCCAAAAAUUAACAGCAGACUAAAAUCGGACACGAAAAUAUACUCCAACUGUCUUAUUGUGCUGAAAGAAAGUUGAGAGAACAGGUCUGGCGGUGGAACUUUGUCUCUGCCAACAAGACAAUCAAUCACUCUUGAAUGAAAUAUUGCUAACAUACCAGUAUAAGGUCAAGGCCAUACCUGUGCCGUAUUCCCCACCGAAGGCAGCAUUUCCAUUUGCUGGAUUCUGCGUUGCACAUUACGUUCUUGACAACAUUCCAACACCAACCUAAUAAACGUGCCCAAUCCAAGUACCACGAGAACUCCUAUACAGGGAUCAUCACCACACUAGGGUUAAGCUACAACGUCCAACAAUGGGCAUAAAUGGUAGAGUGUGGACAAAUGGUCACGAGGUUAUAUGCGCGCGGAGAAUGGAAGCAAGGUCGAGCCGAACCCCCGAGAUAGACAAAGGUGAAGAACAAGGAGGAAAAAAAUGUCUUACCAAAGAUGAAACCUAUCGGAAUUGCAGCGUAUCCAAUUGUAGAUUUGUUGAUGGAAUCCACGAAGAGGUAAGUCAUGAAUGCAAGAACGCCCAACCAUAAAACUAGAACCAACGGAUGCCUCCUCACAACUGUAAGAAGCACGGGUCGGUUUAACAUCAGUCCACUCUCAAGUCCCGCUUGGCUGCUUCCUCCCGCAUGCGAUGACAUCGGAGUUUGCCCGCCAAUGGCAGACUGUCCUCCAAGUCGCCACACCCAGAAAUGCGGCUGUUGCAAAUAAAAGCCACAUUUCAGCAAUUUAGCAUUCAAUCAAUUCACAAAAAUGAAAUACAAAGGCAAUCAUGAUCAUAAGAAAGAACCAAUACUUUCAUGCAAUCACGGUCAAUGGAAGUUCCACGUACCGCAGGUGUUGUCCCUGGCGCUGGAAUGUUUUCCGCAACACACCUAGAAAUGUCAAAAUAAAAUCGCAGAAGGCAUUAGUGACAUCAGAACUCUUAACAAAAUGAUUUUUCUUUUUCUUGUCAGACUCGCUUAACUCUGUAGGACGGCCGUGACUAAGAACAUUUCCAUAUCAGAUAAUAGCGGUAGAAAGUAUUGGAACUCACUGGCAAACCUCGCACUUAUUAGUCCCUUUAUUCUUAAACCAUGUCUCGAUGCAUGAUUUGUGCGACUUCGCCAUCUCUCCUCGACACGCGCAUCCCAGCUCAAUGAGCGGCUCCUCCGAUCGCUGCUGACAAAUUCUAGUCACGCACAGAAUUCAACAUAAAUAUCAGUCACACUAUCCCGAGAUAAGGACCAGGUUAAUAACCUAAAUCUCUUUCUCCAGAACAUAGUCGCAGAGGUCUCCACAAGUCAUCAGUUACCUGCAGUGCUCUGCGGCACUAUCUGUGCUCCACGAACUGAUGGUGCGCCCAGGCCCGGAUGCAAAGACGAAUGUUCGCACCGUCUCCAGGUCCACACUGCUGGCUAAUUGCGCAUCCGGAAUGACCACCGCCGAGUGACCGAGGUCCGCUGGGGUAUUACGACGGGACAAAGCAACCACAGCAUCGCUGCUCGCCCCCAUGACUCUCGGUGGAAGCCACGCUUGUCUGCUUUGUGCUAUCGCAUCACUGCUUGUCCUGUAAACUCCCGAAGGCUCCGAUUGUCGGCUUUGCGCAACGGCAUCGCUGCUCGUCCUGAAUAUACCCCGACGUUCAGGUUGUGGCCUUGCCACAGGCUUUGGGAGAAACAGCGGCCUUGCAGUCACAGCGUCCUGGUCAUGAUUCUCUUCUGCUAAGUUCGAUUGCUCUCGGUGAUCUGUGGAGCUUCCGAUGCCAAUAUGCGAGAGCUUCUCCAAGGGAUCAUAAUGCUCAGGCAACCUCUCUUCGGGCACACGAUCAAUCACAAAGCCAGUUCCGCCUUCAUGCUGCGACAACCCAGUGAAUCUAGAAGUCUGGCCGAUCUCGGAGCGGCGACGGGCUCGCACUAAGCCCUCAUCUGUGCGCGUACGCGCAAGCGGCAGAGCGGGGCCACCGCGCGGCUGCUGGUGCGUCACUAACAAGGAAGAAUCUACCGACCGCGCUGGUCGAAGCGACACAUGCAAUUGCUCUUCGAAAUCAUCUUCACCCACCUGCGCCUUAACCCCCUUGAUGAGGGAAUUGAACCGCUGCAGCAUGGUGCCUACAUGCUUUCCUAACAGAAACUACGCGAUAACGACGACGACGACAGUGCCCAUCUCAGUGCCCACAGAUUGAAACCCCUCACAAAGUUUUGUUUUUUCCCCUAUCUAAAUUAUGACACUCUGUCUGCAAACAGGGAAACUCCAGUCUAUGCAGGGAGAACGAAGACCAUAUUUCGAUUCCCUGCUGUAAGCAACCCGAAAUCAAUUACGUACAACACAAAAACAAGGAUCCUGCCUGUAUGAUCACAACCACUCCAAUCCCUCAACUAAUCGCUGUCGAUUUCAAUGUUAACAGUAAAGCGACACCGGGCCACUUUUGGGGUCACAAUGAGCAGCGUGAGAUAUGGGGUCAGGUUAUAGACUAAAAAACACAGCGAAGGCAGGUGCUGCGGUGUUAUCUCACAAGGUUGGCAGGGAUUGUAGUGUGGCCCACGACGAGUUGGGUUUCUCGUGGGAGGCUGAGCUAACACCGCUAGACUCUCACUUUGCGAAGCAAUGCAUUUCCUUUGUCGAUAUGCGGUUGAUUGCCAGCGAUGCGGAUGCUGCUACGUGGAGGCCAUCAUUGCUGCCAACUUUAAAACCAUCACACACAGCUGUCUUUCACGCCGGAGUUCAAUGGCAUAAAUACUAAAUAAAACUUUUUGUAGGUCCAUGAUCUUAACAGCCACAAAACUGGUUUAAAAUGAUGACGCACCCCCCAAAUGAUGAAGUUGACUCCCUCCACAAUUACUCCGUUUACCUUUGAACCCUACUUUAGCAAUCCCUCGAUCGACGAUGCCGUGUUGCGAAAAUCGGCUUCUAGUGGCUUUUGUGUUUACCAAACUGCUUCCUGUCCAGGUGCCUUAAAAAAUGCAUCUCCUCUUUAACCAACACUGUUGUAUUUGACUAUUGUAUAAAACUCAAUAGUAGGCGGUGACAACAGUUGCGGAUGGGAGGAAUUUGCACCAGAGAAAACUACUGACCCCUCCGUGUUAAAGAUGGUGAUUCUUUUUAUGCAAUAACGUGUACGCUUGGAUUGAAGUGUGCACAGGUUUGGGGGACUUGCAUCCAUACCAUGGUCCAAGUUUUUCACACGAACUUUAAAGAAAAUCUACCAAGAGGUGUGAAGUGGUGUGAAGGUUGAUGGGUAGUUUUGGCACUGGGUUCCAUCUCAAUGGAACUUUUUUAAUGAAUGGGAAAAAGUGACUUCCUCCUUGUUUUGAUAGACAUUAAAAAUUUGGUACAUUCAUCUUUUGCAAUAACAUCUCAUUUUUAUUUUAUUUUAUUUUCUUACACAACCUUGUUCUUUUAUUAUUCUCACAAAUUUUGAUUUUGCAACAUUGAGUUAAUUUUAUCAAAAAACAUGAAUAAUAUUUAGGAUAAUUUCUUUUAGGGUAAAUGAUAUAUCAAACAAAAUGAAAGCAAUGAAGAAUUCAAUACAUACUCACCACCAUAAAGCAUAUUAUUCUUAUAAUGUAUUUUUGUAGUGCUGCUGGUGCACUAACUGAUUACAAAAAGCACUGAGAAAGUUUUGAAGAACUGCAAAAUAUUGUUUAAGAGUUGAAAAUUCACAUUCCAACUCAUUUUGCGUUUCAAGUCCACCAAUCAAAUGGCUAAAAACCUUAGAAUUGUCAAUGUACAAAAAUAAAUAUAUAAAUAAUACUUGCUAAUUUUUAAUUUCUUUUAGAUUCCUUGCACUGAAAGGCAUUUUAGCACCACAACACAACUUUUGGUCCACAUUCCACCAAAAUGAAAAACACAAAAUACAGCUUCUUUUAUCUUUGAUUUUUGAAAAAUACUCAUGUAGAAAUUACAGCAAAAUAUCAUCUAUUUGAGAUGAUUCUCGAAUUUUAUCACACCAAUAACAAUAGAUAUAAAAUCAAAUUAAAAGUUGUUUUCUUGAAACUAAAUAUUAAAAUAUUCAUGUCAAUUUUGCAAGUUAAAAUAAAAUAUAAUAAAAAUGUAAAUAAAAUCAUAAUUUUAUGUAAUACUUCUUACAUCUUAUUAAAUAUAAAUUUAUUUAAAACAAUUAUUUUUUUACUAUCUAUAUUUAUUUUAAAUUAUUUAUUUAAAAAUAUACUUGAAAUAGUUUAUGUAUAUACAUUUGCAUAAAUAUUUAUUUUUUUAUCGAAAAGUAAUAAAAAUUAAGAAAUAAAAAAACACAUAAAAUAGACAUUCAAUAGUCAAGAUUGCAUUCUUUUCUAAGUUUAAUUAAGUAAAAAAAUGAAUUGAAUUCAUAAGAGAUACAUCUAAAGAAAAACUUUAAAUAAUUUUUUAAAAAAACUACCGUUAAUAAGAUUGGUGUUUUAUUUUUAUUUUUUGUUAUUUUUAGAACUAAUUCAUAUUGAAAAAAUUAAAAUUACAAAAGAAAAAGGUAGUUACUCAUUUAAAAAAAAGUUUAUAUAGCUUAAAUAUUAGACUUUAUAUUAAGAGAAUUUAUUAAGAUACUUUUAGUUUAUUAGUUUAAUUUUUUUGAUAAACUUAGUUUUAUUUUUAAGUAAUAAUAAUUAUUUUAUAAUAAUAAAAACUUAAAAUAAAAAAUCAUUCAAUUCGAAAGUAAACUGAGACAAAUCAAAUUAUUAAAUAUAAUUAUAAAACCAUGAUAAAGUGAUAAUAAAAGAAUUAUUUGAAGUUUUGAUAAAAAAAAAAAUAUAUUUUUUAUCAAGUUAAAAUGACUAAUAAUAAAUAUAUUAUAAUAAAUAAAUAUAAAAUAUAUAAAAAUUUAUUUUAUUUAAAUAAAAUAUCAUAUAUACAUAUAUACUUAAAAAUUUUAUUGGGUAAUACAAGUUAUCAAAUUAUAGAAUUUUUUUUUGAAUUUGAUAGAAUAAUUAUCCAAUAAAAUUAAUAUAUUAAUCUUAGAGAGUUAGGAUUAUAUAUAUAUAUAUAUAUAUUUUAGUAGUAGUAAAGACUUGAAUUUUAUUGGAUAAUUAUUCUAUAUAUAUAUAUAUUCAUAUUUGAUAGAAUAAUUAUCCAAUAAAAUGAAUUUUCUAUUGUAAUCUAUUCUAAUAAUUAAAUUGCUUGCCAAGUUUUCAUUUCUAGGCAAUACAACGUCUUUAAGGUACUCAGUCCUGUCAAUAAUGAACAUGUAGAAACUUAAGCUUUGCCAAUAUAAUUGAGUCAAUUCUACGACAAGAAAAAAAUUAUUUUAUUUUUAGCUUAAAUAAAUAUUUAACCUUGUAGAAGUACCAUCUCACAAGAAAAUUAGUAGCAUCUUUGCCAAGAGAUAUUCAUUUAUGAACACCAAUCUUACUAAGUCUAGUACCAAAAAACAACACAAUAUUGCCAAUCUAUAACUUGAUGAAAUAUUAAUACUUUGGAACUCUAAUGCAAGACAUGUUUCAUAAGUAUUUUAAUUGAUUUGAUGAAGAAAAAUAUCAAAUUUCUUUCUAUAUCACUAGAUCAAGCGCAACAAGUCACAUUAUUUCUAAAAUAGAAGUAACAAGUACCUCAACUUUUAUUGUGACUACAACUAAAAGACUUCAAUGACUAGCCUUAUUUGUUUUGCAAAUGGCUAAAAAGCUUGAAUAAAAAGUAAUGGUAGAUGAUUGUCAUAUUUAAGGAAAUACGUUGGUAUAUAACAUUGAUUAUUUCUUUAUUUUACAAAAUAUGUUUUUUUAUAGCAUUGUUGAAAUUAUCUUCACUAAUGUAGACAUAUGUAUGUUGCCUCAAAAUAUAACUUCAAAAAUGGAACACAUGGAUGUUGGCAUCAUUGCUACUUUUAAUUACUUGUAUUAUUAUUUCUAAUUGCAACAUAGAAUUGAGACAAGCUUGACGAGUGCAACUUACACAAAGUUGAUCAACUCACUAUAUUAAAAUGAAACAAAGCCACAUGAAAUAAUAGCUUUGCAAUCACUAUUGUCAAUUAUUUUUUGCACAUUAGAUUGUAUGACAAUAAAAAAAAUAAAUAGAUGAUAUGGUAGAAACUGCUUGCUUAGAUUAACCAAUAUUGCAAAUGAACAAGCUUAAAGAAGGCAAUUUGAUAGCAAACUAUACACUUUGCAUAAAAAAUCCUAUAUAAAUUAAUGCCUUAUUUAAUAUUAUUAAAGUUAUAUUUUUUUAUUACUUCAAUUUUAAUUUUUUAAAUAGAUAGAUAACUAGAUAGGUAUAUAGCUAGAUAAAUAGAUAUAUGAAAUUUGCAAUAAAUAUAUGUAUUAUUCUUAAGAAACUAAUUAUAAAAAUAAAAACCAUAAACAAUUAAUAUUUAUAUAUCUUGUAUAUAUUAAAUUUAUUUCUUUGCUUUUAACUUAACUUGUGUUGGAUUUAUACAAAUAUGAUGUAGCUCAAAUUUUCAUGUUUUAAUUGCUAAGUUUUAACCAUAUAACUUUAAAACUAUCAUACAUGUAUAUUUGAGGCAUAUUAUUAAAUUUAUAGUAAAUAAAUUUUUUUAUCCUUUUAUAUAAAAUUUAUAUUUUAUAAGUAAUAUUAUUAAAACCAUCAAUAGAUUUUUGAGAAUAUAUUAAUAUUAUGCCACAUCUAAAUACAUUUAACAUCAAUAAUACUAUAUAAAUACAUAUGCAUGGUCUUCAUAUUUUUAAUUCGUCAUUUUGGAAUUUUAUUUUUAUAAUAUUUAUGAAAUAUAAAUUAACCUUUAAUUGCUAUACAUAGUUUAUUAAGAUAAAAAUAUGAUUGUAUUUAUUUUAUGACACAAUUUUGUUAUAUAAUAUAAUUUCUUUCAUGGCUCUAUUAUCAAUAACAAAAAAAAAAGAAAUAAAAUACAUGUAAUAAAAAAUAUACUAUUAUAAUUUUUAUUUUUUAUUUUUUAUUCUUAACUUGUCAAGAAAGCAAGAUUUUCAAAAUGAUGAAGAUUUCACAAUGAAGCAAACAAACAAUGAAUCAAAUCAGUUGUUUGAUAAUAAAAUUUAAAUCCCAUAUAUCUGAAUCAAUAUAUAUUGCAAAUACUUUCCAAUUCAAUUUACUAGCAUGUGGCACUUCUUUUUUCAAAUCUUCAAAUUUAUUCUUGGCAAUUACAAAAUCUAUUAGAAAUAUGAGAGAGUACUAGAAGCACACAAAUGAGCUUUGGAGAACCAAAUGGCAUAAGAAUGGAUACAAAUUGGCUAGAGAAAAUAAAGCUAGUUGUGUGAGCAGAAGAACACAAAGAUCAUGGUAAGGCACUUGGCUCUCCAAGAAGAAAAUAAUGAUCUUAUCUUAUUUCCUAUAACAUAAGAUGUUGUCUUGCUUGAGAAUGCACAAAUCAUUUAGCUAUGGAAUAUAAACUAGAGAUUGCAAUAACCAAAGAUCGUAAGAAUCCAAUUUUUUUUUUUAAUAAUUUAUAUUUAAAUCUUAACUAUCUUUAUCAAUUUUUAAUCAUUUCUAAAGUAAUCUUAAAAAAAUAUUUAGAAAAAUCAUAAAAAAAAUUGAAAACUAUAUAUAUAUAAUAAAUCCUAAAUAUAUCUUCAUAAAAUUUUAACCAAAUUUUAAUUAAAUUUUUAUUAAAUUCUAAAUUUUUUUUAACAAAUCCCUAUAAUAGUAUUAAAAUCUCAAUAACUAUUAAUAAAACCAUCAAUUUUGAGUAAAUAAUUUUAUAAAUUUCAAUAUUUAAGCAAAAAAUAAGCAUUCAAACUUUGAAAAAUAAAACUUAUUAAUUUUAAAAAAAGAACUCCUAAUUUGCUUAAGUAUUAGUUGUUAUCUUUUUCUAAUAUUGAUAUUGAUUUUUAAGUCAAAAUAAUUUAUAACUGAAUUAUAUACUUACUUUCUAAACUUAUAAAAUUAAUAAAAAUUAACUUCAUUAUAUACUAAAAAUAUUUUUUUUGAUUUAAAUAGUAGAUUUUAUAGAAUGACAAAAAUACUUAUUAAUUUUAGAAUUAGAAAACUAAAAUCUUAAUCCAAUCAAAUUCUAAUAUCCUUUAAUUUGACCAUUGGGUUAAUCUUAAUUUUAUAGAAAUUUUAAUUAAUUUUUUUUUUAAAAAAAUGUAUUUUCAAAGUAAAAAAAAAUUAUUUUUUCAUUUGAUAAAAUAUUUUAAAUUAUUUUAAAUAUGCAAUUUUUUUAUAAUUUUCAUAAUCCAAUUCUAUAAGAGUAAUCUUUGACUUUAUGAAGCUCUUAUAAACUCAAAAUUAAUCCAAAUCACUUGAAAUUAAUGCUUAAACAAAUCAUCAAAUGUCUUCACUGUAAUCUUAUUUUUCAUAAUGUAAAGUAGUAGUAUUAUGGACAUAAAUACUUAUUCUAGUAAUUACCUAUAUAAUUAGAUAAAAAUAAAUAAAAAUAAAUUGAAUUAGAUUAAUUUUAUAAUAUCUUCUAGAAAGGCUUCCUAAAAGCUUCAUAGAUAUAGUUCUGACUUUACAUGUUGCCGUAUUGUAUGCUUUUCUAUCUAAGAAUAUAUUAGGUACCUUAAAUUAUUGAUUAUUAUCUACUUCUAUAAAAAGUAAUAUUAUUUAUCUUCUUUUUAAGAUAUUCAUUACUUUAUAUAGAUCUAAAAUAGAUACAUUGUUGUAUUACAUGUUGUCUUAUUUAGGAAUGCACUAGACACCUAGCUUUAGAAGGCGAGGUUGUGUUUCAUAAGUAUCUAAGAAACCCUAAUAGAUUUCAUCCAUAUGAGAAGAAUAUAAUCCAAAUUUCAAUUCAAAAGUGCUAAAACACACUCUUUUUAGUAUCCAUAAUCAUAUAUAAAUCCCAAUUACCUUGUUACUUUCAUAUUUAAGGAAUUUAGAUUUUUCUUAUAAGCUCCAAUCUUAAUCAAUGAGCUUUAAUAAGCUGUAACUUCUAAUCUAACUAUCCACUUCAUAUAAAAUUUUGUAUCCAAUUAUCAAUAUAAGUCUUCUAUACGCUAAAGAAUUUUUAGCCCAAUUCAACUUAUAGAGUAUGAGAAAACCUCCAAAAACUAUAUUGAUGUCACUUGGAUGUUAACUUAAAAAAUAAAGCAAAAAUCCUGGUAGUGAUUUCUCCUUCUUUAACUAUUAACUUUAACUCAAAAUUGGUAUGCAACUUGAUCUUUAAGUCCUUCAAGAUCAAGCCCAAAUUUACCUUGAUCCAAUUGAUAGAUCUCUAGAUAUCACAAAAAUCCUACUCAAUCCCAAACUGCCAACUUUUAAAAUUGUAAAGCUACAAAUGAAAGCUCUUGAUUUAAAUCUGCUGGUUGUUGGUUCUCCAUCUCCUUAGCAUCUUAAAUGUACAUAAGCUAUAAAGAAAGAUAGAAGAUAGAAUAUAAUCUUUCUUUAAUCUUGUUUCUUUUAUAGGUGAGAUUUGCUAUUCUUCAUCUUGAUUUUGAUGGAUUUCAUUGAUGAAAAGCUUCAACUUUCUUUAUUACAUUUGUAAGAUAUUUUGAUGGCUUCCAUGUGUGUUCACUAAUAUCAUAUUUGUACCAAUGAAGAAGAUAUUCUAACCUAUUUCGAUGCCGCCUUGAGUCUAAGACUUCUUCUACCUCGAACUUUUGAUUAUUAUCUAUGAAGUUUAUGUUCUUCUGUGUUCUUAAAGUAGAUUAGAAUGCUGUCUAAAUAGCAAAUGAUAAAAUCAUCUAAAAACUCAUAAAAACCAUCAUUUAUAAAAUGUUGAAAAUCAAUCGGUGCAUUCGUGAGUCUAAAAGGCAUGAUAUUAUAUUCAAAAUAUCCAUAAUUAGCUCAAAAAGCAAUCUUCUAUUCAUCUCCUUCUUUGAUAUGAAUUAAGUUGUAUGCUCCUCGUAGAUCUAUUUUGGUAUAGAUCUUUGCUUGAUUGAGUUGAUCAAGAAGUCCUGAAAUCAAAGACAAAUAAUAUCUAUUCUUGAUCGUGAUCUUAUUGAGUCCUUGAUAAUCCACAUACAUCCACAUAGAUCCAUCUUUCUUCUUCACAAAUAAGAUAGGAACUUUGGCUGGGAAUUUAGAAUGGCGUAUGAAGUUCUCUGCCAAAUUUUCAUCAAUAUACUCCUUUAAUGCAUCUAAUUCAUUCUACAAUAAGCUAUAGAUUGAUCCAAAUGGUAGUUAAGUUCCUUCUUACAAAUCAAUUGAACAAUCAUAAGGUCAAUAAUCUAGAAGAAUAUCUACAUUCUUCUUUUAAAAAAUAUCUUGGAAUUCUUCAUAUUGGCUAGGAAUACCACUUGACUUUUUUUCACCAUUAGAAAUGGGCAUAGCAUAUAUAACAAAAGAUGAUCCUUCUUUUGCAGCAUGCAUGAAAGCUCUCGCUCCUAUGAAGUUAGAUUUGGAAGUACUAAACUUUUAUACUUCUACUCUGCUAAUUCGAUCUUAGAUUAUACUAUCAAAAAAAUGAAGGUUAUAUUUUUUUAGCCAUAAUAAUCCUAAAACAAUCGGAUUGGAAAGAGAUCUUAUUACAUUAAAUACUACUAUGUUUUUAUGAUCUUUAAAUAUUACAUCUAAAAGAACAACCUCAUGAAUAACAUUUCCAAAAGACAACAGACGACCUUCUAUGACUUCUACAUAUUUGGAUUUUGUUUUUUUGAUUAAAGAUAUUUUUUGAUUUUUGACAAAAUCUUCAUCUAUAAAAUAGGUUGAGGCUCUUGAAUCUAAUUAGGCAAGCACUCUGUGAUUUUUAGGUCUUAAACGUACUUCCAUUGUAAAAAAAAGUGAGGGAUCUGAUGAGAGAAUAGGACCUUUACUAGGUGUUGCUUAUGAUUCCAGCCGCAUGGUCCUUGUUGUAGCUAAAGAAACUCGUUUUUUGACACACUAUCUUCUUUGGUAAUUGUGCUUUUCAUUUUAUUAUUGCGUUGGUUUUUUGGACAAUGUUGAGCAAUGAGCUUAGUUUCUCUACAGUAUAAACACAAAUCCUAUUGGCAACAUCAAGUUUUUUCGUCCUUUGUGAGAAUUUUAAAGUAUAUCAUAUCAAUUUGCAUUCGUUUUGGCCUUGAUGAAUACGUUUCAAAAUACUUAGAAGUUGCUGCCAUUACUUGAUUUAUUCUUAUUGAGCCAAAUCUUUGUUCUAGAUGCCUUUCAAAUAAUUGAUUCUUGCAUGCAAUGGCUUAAGCAAUUAAUUAUUUGAAAGAUUUUAUUUUUGGCAUUGUUAAUAACAAAUCUUUGAUGCUAUUCUUUAAUCCAUAUCGAAAUUGAUUGAUGAGUGCUUUGUCAUUUCAGUCCAUAUUACAAGUAAGAUUUUGGAAUUUAGUAGCAUAUGUAGUGGCUGAUCAUUAUCCUUAUUGUAAAGAUAAAAGUUUGGUCUUUGCUACUUAUUUUAGAUCACUUUCUCCAAAUAUGGCUAUAAACACUUCUAGGAAUGAAUUCAAAUAAUGAAGGAGUCACAAAUCUUUUUCUAUUAAAGGUACAAACCAAGAAAGAGUACUUCUUGAUAGAAGUAUGUUUAUGAAUCCAACUUGAGUAAAUCCAUCAAGAUAUUGAAAAAGAUGCAAUCUUAGAUAGAGCUUGAUUUGUUGUAAAAAUCUUCAAAAUUUUGAUCUUGUUCCAUCAAAAUUUUCAAGCAUACUAAUCCUUGUCCCCAUCAUACUUGUAGAAACAAAACUCCCUAGAUUUGGUUGUGAGGUCGAUCUAAUUGCUUCCUUUAAUUGUACAACUUCUUGCCACAAACUUUGAACUUCUUCUAUGGGUAUAGGCAUAGAACCUCCAUGAUUCACGUUAGAAAUAUAUGAGAUUUGUACUCUAAGAAUAUUGAUAAGCUCAUGUAGAUCUGCAAUAGUUGUAAAUCUAUUCUCACUUUUGCUAGGUGAAGUAUCUAUAAUCUUUCUUUGCAUAGGCAACUCAAAUAAAUCCAAAAAGUUAAAUUAGAGGAAGAUAAUCUACAACCUCUAAUAAAAAUAUCCAAAAAGAGAGAUAAUCUACUUUCUUUAAGGAAAGAUCACUGUUAGAAAAUAAGAUUUUUAUUACUUAAAAGGUGAUUAGACUGUAAUCUUUACAAUACAAUAAUAGAAGUGAGAUAAUCCAUUCACUUCUAAAAUAAGACAAAAAUAAUAUGUUAGUACUCUUAUCAAACUGUCAAGGACAUGAAUCUCAAAGAAAGAGAAUCCUUGAUACACUCUUAUUUCACUAAAGAGAACUAAAAAAUCACUCCAAAGAUAAUGUAAUAUUAAUUAGAAUGGCUAUUGUCAAAAAAAAAAAGUCUAGAAAGUUUUGAAACAAGACUAUGGACUAGAAUGGCAUUGACAAGAGUGAAAAAGGCUUCUUUCUUACCUCCAUAUAUACUCUUAAGUAGGAGUUAUGUGACAAUGUCAUAUAAGACCUCCAAGUCAUGUUGACUCUAUUAGCCACAAGACAAGUUAUGUAUGUAUGCGUCACAUGGUUAACUUAUUCCACAAGUUAUUAUGUAGAGUUAACUUGUUCCACAAGCUAUCAACAUGUAGUUAACUUGUUGGCUAAGUUUUUGAUCUACAAACACAUCUAAAGUCAAAAUUUCAUCUAUAAAGCUUCUAGAAAGCUUCAUUAAAAGAUUUUAUGAAAUUAAUCUAUAAUUACCUACUUCUACCUAAUCAUAUAAGUAAUUAUUGAAAUAAAUGUAUAUGUCUGUGACAAAGAGUCUUCUAAAUUCAAGAUUGAAGAGAACUUCUUGUUUUUUAAAGAACGUUUGUUCAUUCCUGAAAGGCCAACUUGCUUGCGAAUUCUUCAAACAUGCAAUGACUUCCUUGUAAUUGGACAUUUUAGAUUCAACAAGAUCUUAGAACUUCUGUCUAGAGACUUUUGGUGGCCUAAAAUGUAAAAAGACAUUAAAAAAUUUGUACUAUCAUGUGAUACUUGUUCAAGGUCAAAGAAUCCUUGACAUUGGCCAUAUAAACUUCUUCAACCCCUUCCUAUUCUAAGACAACCAUAGUCAUCUAUCUCCAUGGAUUUUAUUACAGAUCUUCUACUAUCAAGCUCAUUUGAUACUAUCUUCAUAGUUAUUAAUCAAUUGACUAAGAUGGCACAUUUUAUACCUUAUAGGAAGUCAAUUAUUAGUAAAGAGAUGACAAGGCUCUUUAUUGACAAUAUCUAUUAUUACCACGGAUUGCCAAACGAUAUUGUGUUAGAUCAUAGAUCAUAGAUCAUAAUUUGUAUUAAGAUUUUGGAAGGUACUCUUCAAGUUUCUUUAAGUUGACAUUAACCUUUCUUUUAUCUUCUACCUUCAAACUGAUGGCCAAACAGAGUGGAUCAAUCAAAUUCUUGAGCAGUAUUUGAAGUGUACCAUCAACUAAUAACAAAACAAUUAGACUUCCUACUUGUUGUUGGUGGAGUUUGCAUAUAAUAUACAAUCUAUGCAUCUAUGCAACAAAUGUCAUUCUACUCAAACUAUGGUGAUCAUCCAAAGUUGGAUAUAAUAGAAUCUUUAAAGUUGAUAAAUCCAUCAAUAGAUAAGUUUGUUAGAAAGAUGGCUGAACUUCAAGCAACCAUGAAGACUCACCUAGAAAAGGCUCAAUGACGUUAUAAGCUAGUGGUGGAUGAAUUAAGAAAAGAAUAUCCUCCAUUCCAAGUUGGUGACAAAGUGUGGCUUCUUCAGUGCAAUAUAAAAACUAACAGAUCAUGUCAUAAGUUGGACUACCAAAGGUUGGAAUCAUUUGUGAUUUAGAAACAAAUCAAUAAUAUAACUUAUCACUUGGAGUUACCUUUAUCUAUAAAAAUUCAUCCAAUCUUUCAUGUUUUACUUUUGAAAAGGUAUAAAGAAUCAAACUUAUCAAGUUGAAGAUAAUUACCACCUCCUAUGGUUGAAAUCAAAGAUCAUAUUGAAUUUGAGGUAGAAGAGGUAUUAGAUUCAAGGAUAAGACAUGGAAGGCUUGAAUAUCUGGUCCAUUGGCAUGGAUAUGAUAUCAACGAUUGUAUGUAAAAACCAACUAGCAACCUUGUAAAUGUACAAAUGAAGGUUCAAAAUUUCCAUCAAUGACAUCCAUCCAGAUCAAAAGUGACAAAAUGAGAAAUAGUAGCUUGGUAAGAUGGCUUCACUAUGAAGAUUCUUAGUUUUUGGCCUCAUAAAGAAGGGAAGGAGGUAGCCUUUGAAGAGACAAUUUUUUCAAAUAUUUAGAAUAGUAUAAGUCAAUAAUUUGAGUUCAUAAUCAUAAUCUAUUUAUAUUCUUUUGGUCUUGUGUAUUUUAUAUGAUAUGGAUAGUGAAGAGAUAGACACCUUAUUGGUCAUACCAUCUCAACCAAGUAGCUUGCAAAGUUGAUCCUAAGAUGAAGAGCCUCAUGAACCACAAUGACGUUGUCAUGUUGUAAUACGACUAUAUAGUGAAAUUAUAAUCAAAGUUGAAUUUCUAAUUAAUAUCUAAUUAUCUUAAUUAAAUUAUAAUUUGAAGCAUCUAAACAUGGCUUUUAUAUUAGCCUCUUAGGUUAUUUUCUUAUCUUAAUAGUUAGUAGGUUGAAGGUUAGUUAAUAAUUUUACCCUCUAGGUUGUAGAGACUCUUCUACUACCUUAGAAAGACCAUAAACUAAUAAAAUCAGGUUAGAAGAGGUAAAUAAUUAGUAUAAUUGGUACUAGGGUUAAGUUGAGAGUAGGAUUGGAAUAAAAAAACCUUAUGAUACAUUAGAUUGAUACCUAUGGGUCGACCAUUUGUGAGACAGGAUCGAAAUCAAAUCUUUGGCCACUAAAACGACGGCCUAGGGCAAAAUAGGGAUUUAUUUGAAGAUCAAAGGUUAGUAUUUGAGAGCUAGCUUAAAGUUAUUUUCAAAGACAUAAGAAUUGUUUUGAGUGGAUUUUGGAAGACUUAGCAAUUAUUUUUCAAAGUUAGGAAUUAUAUCAGUGAUUUGGAUUUUAUAUAAUAUAAUUAGGACUAGAAAUUUUGGUAGUUCGUGCAAUUGAUGUAACAUCUACAGUUGUAAACUUGGUACUCUUUGGAUUAUUGAGUGUACUAAGUGUAUACAAAUUUUUUUGAUAAUCUAACUGCAUAGUUUAGAGAUAUCUAGUUUUUAGUAUAAGAGAGUUUUAGAAGGUGGCAGUUUGAGGUUUGAUAGAGUUUCUAUGAUAUCUAAAGAUCUAUUAGUUGAAUUUAAGUGAAAAUUAGCAUGGUGUUGAAGGACUUGAAGAUCAAGCUACACACUAAUUUUAAGAUAAAGUUAAUAAUUGGAAAUGAAGAAAUAAUUGUUGGGAUUUUUGCUUCACUUUUCAAGUUGGUAUCACGGCCAUAAUCAUGUAAGCUAAUAAUUACAUAUAGAAGUAGGUAAAAGUAAGUUAAUUCUAUAAUAUUUAAUAUGGAAGCUUCCUAGAAACUUCCUAGAUGCUGUUUUGACUUCAUAGGUGUCUUUAAUUGACUUUUUGGAUUAGAAACGUGGUCAACAAGUUGGCCAUGUGCCACACAUGUUGUUAGCUUGAAGAUCAAGCUAACUAUGUGGCCUACACGUAGAAAAACUUGCCUUGUAAGUCAAGGCAUGUGCCCUACAAAGUCAAUACAUAUUGGAGGUCCUAUAGAACGUCGCAACGUAGCGUCUAGUUAGAGAGUAUAUAUAGAGACAAGAGUGAAGGCUUCUUCACUCUUGUCAACUCCUUUCUUGCUUCUAGUCUAGUUUCAAGGGUCUCUAGUUUUCUUGUCUUUUGGCAAUAGCCAUUCCAGUUCCCCUUUCAAUAUAUAUACUUAUUUAUAUAUAUUUUGUUACCUGUCUUUGAGUGAAGGCUCACUUGUCUGAAUUAUUUUUUUCAUCGAGUUCUUGUCCUUGACAGAUUCACAAGAGUACACCUACAAUAUCAGAGCUUUGUCUAAUCUUGAUUAAGAGUGGAUUACUCCUUUUUUCUUGAUAAGAUAUAAGCAUAUUAGAAGUUGCGGAUUACCCUCUUCUAAACUGAUAUUGUCCUUAGUAUUUUCUUUGUCCGCAAGUCCUCUUUUCUAGUUGUCUUGAGCGAUAUUAGACAUCUUCUCUCUUCUAAGUAUUAUCAUGGCAGAACUUCUUGAAAUGAAGAGUGCAAUGGCACAAAUGCAAGAGCAAUUGAGGGAGUUAAUGCUUGCAAUGCAUCAACUCAAUUUACCACCACAAAGAGCAACAAGAUUAGCAAGAAGUGAAGAUAUAGAAAUGGUUGGAGCUGCUUCAACAUCUGCACCGAACCAUGUCUUUUCUCCUAUGGUGGAACACCCUUCAAAUGUUAGAGAACCAAGAAUUGCCCUACCCGAGAAGUUUGAUGGCACCAGAUCCAAGUUUCGAGGAUUUAUCAAUCAAGUAUAACUUGUGAUUGAACUUCAACCCCAAAGCUAUCCAACUCUAAGAUCACAAGUUAGAUUCAUUGGUACGCUUCUUUCAGGUUCGGCACUAUCGUGGUUUUCAUCUUUUUUUGAACAACAAGAUCCAAUAUUGGAUAAUCUAGAGGCUUUUUUGGCGGAGUUUUGAUCCAUGUAUGGAGAACAUGAUGCAAUUCGUGUUGCAACCAAUAAGAUCCAUAUUUUACGACAAGGCAAUCGAUCAGUAACGUUAUAUGCUUCACAAUUUCGACAACUUGCAACUGAUAUUAAGUGGGAUGAUGCUCCACUUAUUAGCCAAUUUCUCUAUGGAUUAUAAUAUGAGGUAAAAAAAUUAAUGCUCAACUUACCUGAUCCUCAAACAUUGAGUCAAGCAAUUGACUUUGCUAUGAAGUGCGACAAUCGCCUUUUUGAAUUUCGAUCUGAGAACCGUACAAGUGGACCUCAAUGUUACUAUAAUUCAAUGGCAACACCAACACCUCUUCAAUACAUACAUUCAAAAGUAGAGAAUAUGCAAAUUGAUGCAGUACGUUUCAAACCUCUUACUGAGCAAGAAAAGACUCGUCAUUCGUCAAGAAGGAUUAUAUUUAUAUUAUGGAUAACCAAAGCACACUGCUCAACAUUGUCCAAAGAAACAAGGCAAUCACAAAAUGAGGAGUAUGGCUGUGAAAGAAGAUAAUAUGUCGGAAAACGAAUUUGUCCAGGUACAAUAGGGACCGUGCGGCUGGAUCCUUGCACAAUAUCUAGUAAAGGUCCUAUUCUCUCCUCAGAGCCCCCUCCUUGUUUUACAUUAAAUGUUAUUUUAGGACCUAAAUAUUACAAAGUCUUUGCCUUAUUAGAUUCAGGUGCCUCAACGUGUUUUUUAGAUGAAGAAUGUACUAAAAGACAUAGCAUAUCUUUAGUUAAGAAAACUAAACAUGUUCAUGUAGAAGUCAUAGAUGGUCGUCCAUUAUCUUCUGGAGAUAUUACUCACGAAACCCUUCCUAUAGAAGUAAUAAUCAAUGGUCAUUAUAGUUUUGUAGUAUUUAAUAUCAUUAGAUCUCCCUCUAAUCCUAUCAUUUUAGGUUUAUCGUGGUUAGAAAAAUACAACCCUCAAAUAGACUGGAUUUCUCGAACUCUUACUUUCUCUAAAAGUAUAACUAACAGUGUAGUUAAGCAAGUAGAGAGUCAUAAGUCCAAUUCAAUUAAACCCGUAUUUAUAGGUGCAAAAGCUUUCUUGCAUGCAACUAUGAAAGAAUCACCAUAUAUUAUUUAUGCUACAUCCGUUUCUACUGGUGAAAAGACUUUAAGUGGCAUUCCAAGCCAAUAUCAAGAAUUUCAAGAUGUAUUUGAGAAAAAAAAUGCGGAUACACUUCCGGAACCUCAUCCCUAUGAUUGCUCAAUUGACCUUCAAGAAGGAGCACAACCGCCAUUCGGACCAAUCUAUAGUUUAUCACAAAAUGAGUUGCCUCAACUCAAGGAGUAUAUUGAAGAAAAUCUAGCCAAGAAUUUCAUACGCCAUUCUAAAUCUUCCGCAGGAGCUCCAAUUCUAUUUGUAAAGAAAAAAGAUGGAUCAUUGCGGAUGUGUGUUGAUUAUCGAGGACUCAACAAGAUUACCAUUAAAAACAGGUAUCCACUACCUUUAAUAUCCGAACUUCUUGAUCAGCUGAAUCAAGUUAAGAUCUAUACAAAAAUAGAUCUUCGGGGAGCAUACAAUCUAGUACGCAUCAAAGAAGGAGAUGAAUGGAAGACUGCAUUUCGAACUAGGUAUGGACAUUUUGAAUACAACGUCAUGUCUUUUGGACUUACAAAUGCACCAACAGCUUUUCAACAUCUAAUGAAUGAUGUUUUUCGAGAGUUUUUGGACGAUUUUGUGAUAUGUUAUCUAGACGACAUCUUGAUCUAUUCUAAGAAUCUAAAAUGACAUGAACUUCAUGUUCGUCGUGUGUUACAAAAAUUAAGAGAUGUAGGACUCUAUGCCAAGAUAGAAAAGUGUGUAUUCCACACUACUCAAGUUGAUUUCUUAGGUUACAUCAUUUCAAAUGAUGGACUUAUGAUGGAUCCUGAGAAAGUUCAAACUAUUAUAGAUUGGAAGAUCCCAAUAACGGUAAGAGAUGUCCAAUAUUUUUUAGGAUUUGCCAACUACUAUCGGAUCUUCAUCGAAGACUUCUCUCGAGUUGCAGCUCCACUUACACGUUUGACUUGUAAAGACAAACUCCAAUGGAAUUAAGAAGCGGAAGUUGCUUUUGAAUCUUUGAAGACAUCGUUUGUUUCUGCAACAAUCUUGUAUCGUGUUGAUUUUUCCAAAGCAUUCUUUAUAAAAACAGAUGCAUCGGACUUUGCUCUGGGUGUGGUUUUAUCACUAAUGGGAACAGAUGACAAACUUCAUCCAGUAGCCUUUCAUUCAAGAAAAUUCUCAGCAGCAAAAAUCAAUUAUGAGAUCCAUGACAAAGAACUUCUUGUAAUUGUGGAUUCUUUUCAAGAAUGGCGUCAUUAUCUAAAAGGCCCUUCUAGUCCAGUCACCGUGUAUACGGAUCACAAGAACUUUGAAUAUUUUAUGUCAACACGCGUAUUAAAUCGUCGCCAAGCUCGUUGGAGCAUGUCUUUAUCAAGAUUCGAGUUCAUCAUCACUUAUCGGCCAGAAAAACUACAAGGUUUAUCCGAUGCUUAUCUAGACGUUCUUAUCUUGCACCAAAAGAAAGAGAUGCAGCUUUUGAGCAACAAAAAAUGGUUCUCUUGAAGCCGGAACAAUUUCAUCUUCGAGCAAUAAAAUCAACAUUGAUUGUUGAUUUAACUUUCCUUAAGCAAGUCCAGUUAAGUAUGUCUUCAGACCUUCUUGUUCAUGAUAUCAAGAACAAUUCUUCUAAAUCUCAUGAUUCAUCUGAAUUUGAAUUCAAGAACAACCUACUCUAUUUUGAAGGACGCCUAUAUGUUCCAGAAGGAGAAGCACGUUUAUGUGUUCUUCAAGCUCGUCACGACUUUCUAGUAGCAGGACAUUUCGAAUAUAAUAAGACUUUGGAGCUGAUAUCUAGGGAUUUUUGGUGGCCUCAAAUGUAGAAGGCAGUUAAAGAUUUUGUACAAUCAUGUGAUGUUUGCUCCAGAUCGAAAAUUCCUUGUAAUCGACCUUUUGGACUUCUUCAGCCAUUACCCAUUCCAGAACAACCAUGGUCUUCUGCUUCUAUGGACUUCAUCAUGAAUCUUUCAAUCUCAGGUUCUUAUGACUCUAUAUUCGUGAUAGUAGAUGGUUUUACCAAGAUGGCACAUUUUGUACCAUGUACAAAAUCUAUCACAGGUGAAGAAAUAGCUAAGCUCUUUCUUGACAAUAUCUAUCAUUAUCAUGGAUUAUCCAAGGAUAUUAUAUCAGAUAGGGAAACUCAAUUUGUAUCAAGAUUUUGGCGGACUCUUUUCAAGAUUCUUAAAGUGGAUAUAAAACUAUCUUCGGCAUUCCAUCCUCAAACUGAUGGACAAACGGAGCGUGUUAAUCAAGUUUUGGAGUAAUAUUUAAGAUGUACUAUUAAUUACCAACAAGAUGAUUGGACAACUCUUUUGCCAUUGGCAGAGUUUGCUUACAAUAACACAGUACAUUCUUCUACAAAACAAACACCUUUCUUUAUUAAUUAUGGUUAUCAUCCACGACUUGAUACUUUUAACUUUUCAAAAGUUGAUAAUCUUGCUGCGAAAGAUUUGGCAAUUCAUUUAUCAAAGCUACAUGCAACGAUGAAGGCGAAGUUAAAAGAGGCUCAAGAACAACAAAAGGCCAAUGCGGAUGUCUAUCGAAAGAAACAACCAUCAUUUGUCUUAGGUGAUAAGGUAUGGCUACUUCGUCACAAUAUCAAGACCACUCGUCCUUGUGACAAGUUGGACUAUCGAAAGGUGGGACCAUUUUCUAUUUCUGCACAAAUCAAUCCAGUUGCAUAUCGUUUAGAUCUACCAGAGUCAAUGAAAAUCCAUCCUGUAUUCCACGUGUCUCUUCUUGAACCAUACAAGACAAUGGACAUACCAAGAAGACGAGAAGCUCCACCUCCUCCUAUAGAAGUGGACAAUAAUGAAGAGUUUGAAGUAGAAGAAGUCUUAGAUUCAAGGCGACGUCGAAAUAAAUUAGAAUAUCUUGUCCAUUGGCAUGGAUAUGAUAUUAGUGAACAUACAUGGGAGCCAAUAAAGAAUCUUACAAAUGCAGUAAAGGCCGUGGAGGCUUUUCAUAAACGACAUCCAUCAAAAUCAAGAUGAAAACCUUCUUUAGAAAAGAAACAACAUCUAGGCAAGAUGACAUUCUACUUUCAAUUCUUGUUCGUAGCUUUGUUGUAGUAGUGGCGCUCAGGAGAUGGAGAACCAACAACCAGCAGAUUCAACUCAAGAGCCUUCAUUUGCUGACCUGUCGGACGAGACAUUACGAUUGUCACAACCUUCAAGAUGACACAAUCGAGAUGAAGAUCUUCAAGAAUUACAUGUUCUUCCUCGAAUAGAUGGUGAGAUACAACGCAUUUGGUAUCACGAUUUGGGAAGGGACUCCCGAUGUUUGGUGAUUUUGCUAGAGGUAGGAACAACUCCUGAUGGUGUUCCAAAUAUUCUAUUCGAAGGAAGUUACGAAGGUUUCAACAAUGAUCAAAUAACUGGGUGGUCUUCCCGCCCUAGUAUGGGACACUACCGAUGGUUGAGAGGCCCUAUCAAUCAUCUUCGAAGAAAACAGAGAUCAGAGUAUGUGGCGAAUACAAUUCGUCGCAUCAUAGAUUUUCUCAACAUAUGAUGACCGCUCCUCGUGGAACUCGGCCCUAGAAGGGGGGGUAAUGUCACGGCCAUAAUCAUGUAAGCUAAUAAUUACAUAUAGAAGUAGGUAAAAAUAAGUUAAUUCUAUAAUAUUUAAUAUGGAAGCUUUCUAGAAACUUCCUAGACGCUGCUUUGACUUCAUAGGUAUCUUUAAUUGACUUUUUGGAUUAGAAACGUGGUCAACAAGUUGGCCAUGUAGCACACAUGUUGUUAGCUUGAAGAUUAAGCUAACUAUGUGGCCCACACAUAGAAAAACUUGCCUUGUAAGUCAAGGCAUGUGCCUUACAAAGUCAACACAUAUUGGAGGUCAUAUAGAACGUGGCCACGUAGCCCCUAGUUAGAGAGUAUAUAUAGAGACAAGAGUGAAGGCUUCUUCACUCUUGUCAACUCUUUUCUUGCUUCUAGUCUAGUUUCAAGGGUCUCUAGUUUUCUUGUCUUUUGGCAAUAGCCAUUCCAGUUCCUCUUUCAAUAUAUAUACUUAUUUAUAUAUAUUUUGUUACCUCUCUUUGAGUAAAGGCUCACUUGUCUGAAUUAUUUUUUUCAUCGAGUUCUUGUCCUUGACAGUUGGUGGCCAAGUAACAUUAGUGCAAUUUUUGGAGGUUUUAUCACAAUUGUAAGUUGGAUUGGGCUUAAAAAUCUUGAGCAUAUAGAAGAGUUACAUUAACAAUUGCAAGCAAAAUUCCACAAUUAGUGGACGGUCGGAUUAGAUGUUACAGCUUAUUAAAGCUCACUGUUUAGAAUUGGGCUUGUAAGAAAAAUCUAAAUUGCUUAAAUAUAAAAACAACAUGGUAAUUAGAAUUUAUAUAUGGUUAAGACUACUAAAAAGAGUGUUUUAAGCACUUUUGAAUUGAAAUUCAAAUUAUAUUCUUUUUGUAUGGAUGAAACCUAUUAGGAUUUCUUGGCUACUUGUGAAACACAAUCUCACCUUCCACAGCUAAGUGCCCAAUGUAUUCUUGAGCAAAACAACACGUAAUAUGACAACGUCAAAGGAUACCUAGUAAUAGGUUGCUGGUAAUUAUGUUUGAGGUAGAACUUGCCUAUAAAGGAUGCCUAGAAGGAGUGUUUGUAAGACAAUUCUGUAACAAAGAUAUCAAAGUUUAUACUUGGACAAAAGUAGAAGACUUGGAGCACUAUUGAUGGCUACAAGGACCUAUUAAUCAUUUGUCUUGUGAAAAACAUCAAGAAUAUAUAGUGGAUAUCAUGCGACAGAUCUUCAACUUCUUGCACGUAUACUGACUUGUAGCAAUAUUACUUCUUGGAGACAUCAAAGCUAGAGGAUGAGGUGAUAUCACAAAUGUAUAAUUGAAGAAGGUUUAAGAAGGUUCUUAUAUAUUUUAGAAGAUUUUAGAAGAUUUUGAUAGAUUCUAAGAAGGUUCUAAAAGACUUUAAUAGAUUUUAAGAAAAUUUUAGAGAGUCAUAGGAGAUCCUAGAAGUUUUUAAGAAGCUUUAGAUGAUUUAGGAAGUUACCAAAGAAGGAUUUUAGGCUUUCUUUGUUCCCCAGCCUCACGAAAUUUUUUCAAAAAGCUUCUUGGCACUUAGUAUAUAUAGAAGUCGAGAUUGAGGGGAUCUUCAAUGUCGACAACUGACUUCUUGUAGUCUAUCUAGGACCUUCUUGCUUUUUAUCUGGUUAUUACUUUAAUGUUGAGCUUAUUUUAUUUCUUGAUCUUGAGUCCUUGUCUUAUGUGUAGUUCCAAACAUAUAUACCAAGAUGUCAUUUAUGAAGACUGUUACUUAUUUGUUCAAAAUGUCUCAAAUUAAAUUGUUCAUUUGACUUAUAAAAGAAACUAGAGCAUUGGUAAGGCCAAAAGGUAAAAGAAGCCAUUCAAAAGGUCUAUAGUAUAUAAAAAUGUCUUCUUUUUUAUAUAUCUCUUUUGUGAUAGGUGUCUAUUGAUUGCCAUUGUAAUGAUCUAAUUUACUAAAGAUGGUCACAUCUUGAAGUUGAUCAAGAAGUUCAUCCACAUAUAGAAGUGGAUAUGCAUUUUUAAUAGUUUAUUUUUUAAGACUUUGAUAGUUGAUACAAAGUCAAAGUCCACCAUCCAUCUUGGGUGCAAAGAAUACAACUCCUCUCCAUAGUAAUAUACUUUCUUAAAUGAGGCUUUUCUCUAAAAAUUCAUUCAAUAUCUUAUGCAGUUCUUGAAAUUUCUUUAGUAUUAGGCAAUAAAUUGGUCAAUUUGCUAGUUUGGCUUCAGAUAAUAGUUCUAUUGGAAAAAAUGCAUCUUUAUUAGGAGAGACAUUGUAGUACUAUAAUUACUUAUAGUAUGUAAAAAUUAGUUAGAACAUAUAAUAUGUUCAUAAGUCUUAGUGUAUGUUAGAAUGGUUAGUAGAUUAAUUUAAAGAAAGUGGAUAUAAAAAACUUUAUUUUGAAUUUUAUCUAUUUUGAUUAUAGCAUUUAAAAAAAUUAUACGACCUAAAUAUUUAAUAUGAAGCUUUGAGAGGAGAUUAGAGCCUAAAGAUGAAAAUCUUAACUAGUAGGAUGCUUAUUGGGAAGGAUGAAAGCAAGGCAUGGUCAGAUGAAGGCAAGGAAUGGAGAUCUUCAUUCCUAUUGGUCGAAGGCCAUGUCCAAUGGGCUUUAAGGAGGCUGCCUGAGGCCUUAUUAGGGAUUAAGGUUUCUUUUUUGAAGUCAUUUGAGCUUUGUAGGCUAGAAUCAGCAAGUUUAAGUUUUUGAGUAUGGAUUGGAUGCAAAUUUUGUGUAAUUUGGAGUAUUAAUGAAAGAAUUAUUGGCGCUCAAAGUUAAGGUAUCAAUUUCAUACCUACUAUCACUCUUUGGAGUAUAACAUACAUUUGCAAAGAGCAACAAAAGAUUGGAGACUAGGAUUAGAGAGAACACCUCUUCAACUAUACUUUUUAUAGAUUUUUUUGAUGAAUUUAGAAUUUAGAUGAAGAAGUUAUAGAGAGUUGAAGUCAAUACAUCCAAAUCAAAGGCUGUAAGUAAGUGAUUUUGUUCACAAUAAUGGAUUCACCCAUAUUUUGAGUUUUUAGACGAAUUUUUGGCUCGAACUUUUUGAAGAAGAUAUAUUAUUUUAUUAAAAAUCUAUACAUACAAUUUUUGUGGUAUUUAAAUAUUUAAUUUGUGAGAUAUGAUGAAAAUUACAUAUGGAUGUAUAAAAAUUAGGAUUUCAAGCUAUUGUUAGGAUUUUGGUGAUAUCUUAAGUUUCGUAAUGAAUUUGUAGUUUAAAUUUAGGUUUGGAAGUUGGUAAGAUCACAUUAGUACUUCAUAUAAAAUUUGAAUAAGUUUGGACAGUUGGAUUAGGAGAUAAAAGGUAUUGAAGUUCGAAAAAAAUUCCAUGUAAGGGUAUAUAAGGUUUUAGACGGUUUUAUCAUAUUUUGAAUGUUAUUUGUUACUAUGGGCUUAUGUAUUUGAUGUAAUUGCUCCAAAAAGGAAAAUUUCAUAUAUCAACUUAGGACUUACUUUACUAUGAAGCUUGUUUGAGUAGUUAGUGAUAACCAAUAGCCUAGUACUUUCUUGAGGCAAAUUCUCUCUAUCUUAACAAUGCCACUAGAUAGGUCACUUAGAAAGAUAUUUCAAUAUUUGUAUAUGAGUUGUUCUUUCCAUUCCACUCCUUUAGCUAUCUUUUCUACUAUUGAUGUAAGAUUUGCUUAUACUCUAUUUGCUUCUUCAUAUAAGUUAUUUCUAAAAAAAAGUCUUUAGUCACAAAUUAUUUUCUUCUUUAUUUAAUGUGGAGGUACAAAGAUUCCCCUUGCGUCUACCAUCUUUGAAAGAAAUUAUUCUUAAUAUCCAAUUGACUUACUUAAGUUCCACCUCUAGGCAUGGCAUACCAAAGAUAACAUCGGAUCUUAGUUUUGUGAUCCUCAACCUCUUUCUCUUAAGACGUAGGUAUCAAAUAACCUUAAGAUUUCUUCUUCACAUAUCUUAUUCAAUACUUUCUCUCAGUCAUUUAUAAGGUAUAUACUUCCUCUAUUGAUUACCUUAGUUUCAAUCUCGAGUUGGUUGGUAAUUUAAGUCAAGAUGAAAUUUGAACUCAAUCCUCACAUCUUUCAAAUAACUUGCUGCAUAUAUAUUUCUUUCAAUAGUAUUUGCUUCAAAUAGUUGGAGAUAUUGUAGCAUGUUCAAGAGCUAUUGACAUACUUCUUCUUGCCUUGAAGUCCUAAAGUAUGUACUUGACUUAUUCAAUUCAGCCUAGUAUAUAUCAACUCUCUUGCCUUAGAGGCUUCUAUUUGCCUUUGCAAAGUAGCUAUCUGGCUUAAGAGAUGUUGUAUUUGAGCCUCCAUCUGGGAUUGCUCUACCAUAUCUCCCAUACUAAAAAUUUUCCACUAGAUUUCACUAUUAUAAUGCCUUCUCAUCUCUUGAUUGACUUUUUUAAAAUAUCUUAUGGUAGCCUCAACACAAUACCUAGUGUGAUGACAAUAACUGACUUUAGAUUAGAUAAUGACUAUUACCAUACUAUCAAAGAAUAAUCUAAUAAUUACUCUGAUAUCAAUGAAAUAAGACCUGUCUAUUUCAAGAGAUUAAGACCCUUCAAAUUCACAAUAAUAUAAAUCUCAUCUUAAGUAGGAUAAAAUGGAUUAGAAAAAAUUGAGCAAUCAAAAAUACAACAAAACAAAAUUGAAUAAUAAAAUGAUAAACCAAACUUUAUUGACUGAAUAGGUCUAAAGCCAUACCUAACUAGAUGUCCAAAAGGCCUUGGCCAAUCCUAUUUAUAUUUUAUCCAAUCAUCUUGAAAUUUUUUAGAUUAUUUUUAAUAAUAGAUUUUACUUAGAUAAUCAUCCUAAGCUCUUUCUAUAAGGUUCUAUAGUAGAUCUUAUCUAAAUAAUCAUCUUAAGUUCUUUUUAAAAUAUUCCAUUCUGGAUUCUAUAUUACAUACUAACAUAGUCCCAUUUCUAGAAACUUCUAUUAACUUCUGAAAUAUACUCCAACUAUCUAUCUCUAAGUAUGAAGAAUACAAAAAUCUUAUUAACUCUUUUUUAUAAGGAAUUCUUGACCUUGAACAAAUAUUACAUGAUUAGAUUAAGUCUUUCAUUGCCUUCCACAUUUGUAGCUACCAAAAAUCUUUAGAUAUAAGUUAUAAAGUCUUAUUAUAUCUCAAAUUGAUGGCCAUUAGAAAGUCAUGAUGUACUUAAAAAAUACCUACAUAUACUUCUCUUUUUGAAAUGUAUAAAGGUUAUCAAAAUAGAAUAGAUUAAUUUUGAAUUCAAACUUAGAAGCAUCAUGAGAUUUAGAAGAAGGAUUCUUGAUAUCAUAAAUAAGAAGAAAACAUGACAUACUUGAUUGAAAUUAUUUGAUGGUCGUUUGUUGUCUUUUCAAAAUGUUAUUUAUGAGGUUAUUCUUUUAGAUGUAAUAUUUAAAGAUCAUAAAAGCAUAGUAGUAUUUAAUGUAAUAAGAUCUCCUUUAAAUCUGAUUGUUUUAGGAUUAUUAUGGCUAAAAAAAUAUAACCUUCAAAUAGAUUAGAUUUCUUGUAACCUUCACUUUUUUGGUAGUAUAAUCUAAGAUCGAGUUAGCAGAGUAGAAGUAUAAAAGUUUAGUACUUCCAAAUCUAACUUCAUAGGAGCGAGAGCUUUCAUGCAUGCUGCAAAAGAAGGAUCAUCUUUUGUUAUAUAUGCUAUGCCCAUUUCUAAUGGUGAAAAAAAGUCAAGUGGUAUUCCUAGCCAAUAUGAAGAAUUCCAAGAUAUUUUUUAAAAGAAGAAUGUAGAUAUUCUUCUAGAUUAUUGACCUUAUGAUUGUUCAAUUGAUUUGUAAGAAGGAACUUAACUACCAUUUGGAUCAAUCUAUAGCUUAUUGUAGAAUGAAUUAGAUGCAUUAAAGGAGUAUAUUGAUGAAAAUUUGGCAGAGAACUUCAUACGCCAUUCUAAAUUCCCAGCCAAAGUUCCUAUCUUAUUUGUGAAGAAGAAAGAUGGAUCUAUGUGGAUGUAUGUGGAUUAUCAAGGACUCAAUAAGAUCACGAUCAAGAAUAGAUAUUAUUUGUCUUUGAUUUCAGGACUUCUUGAUCAACUCAAUCAAGCAAAGAUCUAUACCAAAAUAGAUCUACGAGGAGCAUACAACUUAAUUCAUAUCAAAGAAGGAGAUGAAUAGAAGAUUGCUUUUUGAGCUAAUUAUGGAUAUUUUGAAUAUAAUAUCAUGCCUUUUAGACUCACGAAUGCACCGAUUGAUUUUCAACAUCUUAUAAAUGAUGGUUUUUAUGAGUUUUUAGAUGAUUUUGUCAUUUGCUAUUUAGACGGCAUUCUAAUCUACUUUAAGAACACAGAAGAACAUAAACUUCAUAGAUAAUAAUCAAAAGUUCGAGGUAGAAGAAGUCUUAGACUCAAGGCGGCAUCAAAAUAGGUUAGAAUAUCUUCUUCAUUGGCACAAAUAUGAUAUUAGUGAACACACAUGGAAGCCAUCAAAAUAUCUUACAAAUGUAAUAAAGAAAGUUGAAGCUUUUCAUCAAUGAAAUCCAUCAAAAUCAAGAUGAAGAAUAGCAAAUCUCACCUAUAAAAGAAACAAGAUUAAAGAAAGAUUAUAUUCUAUCUUCUAUCUUUCUUUAUAGCUUAUGUACAUUUAAGAUGCUAAGGAGAUGGAGAACCAACAACCAGCAGAUUUAAAUCAAGAGCUUUCAUUUGUAGCUUUACAAUUUUAAAAGUUGGCAGUUUGGGAUUGAGUAGGAUUUUUGUGAUAUCUAGAGAUCUAUCAAUUGGAUCAAGGUAAAUUUGGGCUUGAUCUUGAAGGACUUAAAGAUCAAGUUGCAUACCAAUUUUGAGUUAAAGUUAAUAGUUAAAGAAGGAGAAAUCACUACCAGGAUUUUUGCUUUAUUUUUUAAGUUAACAUCCAAGUGACAUCAAUAUAGUUUUUGGAGGUUUUCUCAUACUCUAUAAGUUGAAUUGGGCUAAAAAUUCUUUAGCGUAUAGAAGACUUAUAUUGAUAAUUGGAUACAAAAUUUUAUAUGAAGUGGAUAGUUAGAUUAGAAGUUACAGCUUAUUAAAGCUCAUUGAUUAAGAUUGGAGCUUAUAAGAAAAAUCUAAAUUCCUUAAAUAUGAAAGUAACAAGGUAAUUGGGAUUUAUAUAUGAUUAUGGAUACUAAAAAGAGUGUGUUUUAGCACUUUUGAAUUGAAAUUUGGAUUAUAUUCUUCUCAUAUGGAUGAAAUCUAUUAGGGUUUCUUAGAUACUUAUGAAACACAACCUCGCCUUCUAAAGCUAGGUGUCUAGUGCAUUCCUAAAUAAGACAACAUGUAAUACGACAAUGUAUCUAUUUUAGAUCUAUAUAAAGUAAUGAAUAUCUUGAGAAGAAGAUAAAUAAUAUUACUUUUUAUAGAAGUAGAUAAUAAUUAAUAAUUUAAGGUGGAAAAAGUCUAAGACUCAAGUCGGCGCCAAUAUAGGUUGAAUUAUCUUAUUCAUUGGUGUAGAUAUGAAAUUAGCAAAUACAUAUGGAAACUACCAAAAAAUCUUAUAAAUGUAAUAGAGAAGGUUAAAACUUUUUAUCAACAAUAUCUAUCAAAACCAAGAUGAAGGAUAUCAAAUCUUUGCUAUAAAAAAAAAAAAAAAAAAAAAAAACCUUAUUUUAUAAAGAUUAUGUUCUACCUUCUAUCCUUAUUUUUAGUUUAUAUAUAAUUGGGGUAUUAAAGAGAUUAAGAAUUAACAACCAACAGAUUUAAAUUAAGAGCAAUCAUUUGCUGUCUUAUCAAAUAAGAUAUUACAAUUAUUAUAAUCUUUAAGAUGACAUAAUAGAGUUGAAGAUCUUUAAAAAUUACAUAUUCUUCAUCAAAUAGAUGAUAAGAUAUAAUAGAUUUGAUAUUACAACCUAAGAAGAGACUUUUGAUCUUUGAUAAUUUUAUUCGAGAUAUACAUGACUUCUGAUGGUAUUUCAAAUUUUUUAUUUGAAAGAAGUUCAAAGGUUUUAACAAUGAUCAAAUAACAUUGUAGUCUUCUUAUCUUAAAAUAGGAUAUUACUGAUAGCUGAGAAGACUUAUCAACUACCUUCAAAGAAAAUAAAGAUCAGAGUAAAUGGCAAAUGUAAUUUGCUACAUUUUAGACUUCUUCAGUAUAUGAUUACUGCUUGUCAUGGAACUUGUUUCUAAAAAGAAGAGUAAUGUCAUGGAUAUAUAUCUAUUGUAAUUAUUAUCUAUAUAAUAUGGAUAGGUAGAACUAGAUUAAAAUAGAUUAAUUUUAUAAUAUCUUCUAGAAAAGCUUUUUAGAUGUUGUUUUGACUUUUUAUGUGUUUGUAAUUGAUUGAUAGGUUAAAAACUUAGUAAAUAAAUUAAUCACGUGCCACAUAUAUUGGUAGCUUACAAAACUAGCUAAUUAUGUAGUAUCCAUAUGAAAAAUUUGCCUUGCAAGAUAAGAUAUGUGUCAUGCAAAUUCAAUACCUUUUUGGAGGUCCUAUAGAACGUCAUGACAUAAUUCUUAUGUAGAUAGUAUAUAUAAAGACAAAAAUAAAGCCUUCUUUACUCUUAUCAACUUCUUUCUUGCUUCAAGUCUAGUUUCAAAAAUCUCUAAUUUUUUUAACCUUUGACAAUAGUUAUUAUAGUUUUUUUUUUUUAAUACAUAUAUUUUUUAAUUUUUAUUUUGUCAUAUUUCUUUGAGAGAGAUUCACUUAUUUAUUUUCUUUCAUCAAAUUCUUGUCUUUAACAACUAUCCACUUAAGAGUUACAUGGCAAUAUUCUAUAGGACUUCCAACAUGUGUUGACUUUACAAAUCACAUGUUUUAACUUGCUAGACAAGUUUUAUGUGUAUAUUUUAUAUAACUAGCUUGUUCCACAAGCUAUCUACUUGUGAGACAUAUGAUUAACUUGUUAAUUAGAUUUUUAACUUAAAAGUCAAUUAUAAACAUGUUGUCAUAUUAUAAUUCGGCUACCAUGUGAAACAAAUGUGUUUAUAUAUUUAAUGUAGAAUUUACUUAGUAAUAUGGUGAGAGCAAUGUUAUUGGAUUAUAGUUGAUUGUAGAAUGUGGUUAAACUACUUCUUUAAAAGGACGUUGUUUAAAUGGAUUACUAUUAAAAUUUGUAAAACUUAAUUUUUUUUUAUAAUGGUUUUCGAAGUUGAUUUGUUGGUAGUAAAUUUAUACAUUUAGAGUCACCUUUGUAAGACAUUGGUUAUCCUUAAAGUUUUAUUUUGGUUCUUUUAUUUGAUAUUCAAGACAUGUAAUAUAUAAAUCUUAUAUAAAAAAGGAUUAAAGAAGGAUUUUAGUAAAAAUAAAGGUAGUUAAGACAUCGAUAUGAAUGAUUGGAGAUAGAUGAUAUAAAUCUUCAUUCUUAUUAGUCAAAUAUCAUGACCAAUGGACUUCAAGGAGGUUGCCCGAGGCCAUAUUAGGAAUUACAAUUAAUCUUUUGGGAGGAUUUUGAUCAUCAAAGCCUAAAGUUAGCAAGUUCAGGUUUUUGGCUAUGGUUUUGGUGUAAAUUUUGAGUCAUUUGGAGUUUUUAUGAAGGAAAUGUAGGCUCUCAAAGACAAGGUAUUAGUUUUGUAUCUACUGUUACUCUUUUGGAUAUAAUGCAUGCGUAUAGAAAGCAAAAAAAAUUGGUGACCAAGGUUGGAAAAAGUACUUUUUUAACUACAAUUUAUUUAUAUUGCUUGAUGAAUUCUAAACUAAGAUGAAAGAGAUAUUAUAAGUUGAAGCCAACACUUAGAAUCUAAGAAGUAGUAAGUGAUUCAAAUUACUAGUAGUUGUGUUUUGAGCUAUAUCUUAUGCAAUUUGAUAAGAUUUUAAUCAAAACUUUUUAAGAAUAAGUUUUUUUCAUGUUAUUAAAUUUUAUACAUAAGUUUUGUGAUAUUUGGAUUUUGUAUUUGUGAAAUAUGAAGAAAAUAGUACUUAGGUGCUUGUAAAUUAGGAUUUGAAGCACCUGCUAGGAUUUUUAAGAUGACAGACGAUUUGUAGCAAAUUUAUAGUUGAAUUUUUUUGGAAUAAUAUUUAAGGAUAAAUUCUAUAUCAUUUAUAAAUUUGACAAAAAUUGAAUAAUUUGAUGAAGAGAUAUAAACUUUUGAAGUUCAAAAAAAAAUAUUUUAUUUGAAGGAAGUAAUAUAGGCCUUAUCAAGGAGCAAAUAACAAGGUAGUCUUUUCACCUUGGGUUGAGUCACUAUCAAUGGCUGAAAGGAUCUAUCAACUAUCUUCAAAGAGAGCAAAGAUUAAAGUAUGUAACAAAUACAAUUCGCCACAUCUUAGACUUCUUCAAUAUAUGAAAACUGCUUUUCAUGGAACUAUGCUUUAGAAGGAGGGAUAAUAUCAUAGACAUAUAUAUUAUUUCAAUAAUUAUUUAUAUGACUAGAUAGAAGUAGAUAAUUAUAGAUUAAUUUCAUAAAGUCUUUUAGUGAAGCUUCCUGAAAGCUUCAUAGACGUGGUUUUGAUUUUAGAUGUAUUUGUAGGUCAAAAACUUUGCCAACAAAUUAACCACCUGUUGUGAGCUUGUGGAACAAGUUAACUCUGUAUAAUAGCUUGUGGAACAAGUAAACUAUAUCGUGCAUAUAUAGAUUACUUGCCUUGUAAGUAAAAACAUGUAACUAAUAAAGUCAACAUGUUUUAAAGGUCUUAUAUAACAUUGUCAUAUAACUCCUACUUAAGAAUAUAUAUAGAAGCAAGAUUGAAGCAUUCUUCAUUCUAAUCAAUGCGUUCUAGUCCUUAGUCUUGUUUCAAGACUUUUCAAUCUUUUUGUUUUUGGCAAUAGCCAUUCUAGUUAAUAUUAUAUUAUCUUUAGAAUGACUUUCUAGUUAUCUUUAGUAAAAAAAGACUGUAUCGAGGAUUCUCUUUCUUUGAAAUUCAUAUCCUUGACAUUCUUCAAGAAGGUUGUUUGCAAGAUGCUUGAUAUUAAAAAUAAGAGGGUUCAUAAUUGAGGCUUUACGAAUCUGAUCAAGAAAUGAUAUAUCUAUAAAUAUUGAUACAUUGGUUGCUCAAAGAUGAAAUUGCUCAAGCUUUAAUAAGGUUGCUUAUUAUUAAUCAUAUGUUAUCUCACUUUUUUUUGGUUCAAGGUAGGAACAUCUUGAUAAUACAUCUGAUAACCUUUGUUUGUUCUUGAAUUGAUACAUGAUGCAAAAGUGAAAUCAUGAUAAAGAUAUCUUCUAAUGCGCUUGGCAAUAGUUCAAGAUUUGGGUUGACUUGAAAUACUCAAGAUUCUUGUGAUCUUUAUAUACUGUCACUUGGUGAGAGGCACCUUAAAGAAAGUGGCGCCAUUCUUAGAAAGAAUCUAUGAUGGCAAGCAACCUCUACUAUGAAUUUUGUAGUUAGUUUCUAUUCCUAAGAAUUUUCUAGAAUAAAAUGCAAUUGGGUGAAGUUUGCCAUCUUUUCUAUAUUACAAUAAAACUGCUCCCAAUACAAAGUCUGAGGCAUUGGUCUCCAUAAAAUAGGACUUAUUGAAAUUUAGAUGUAUCAAAAUUGGAGUUAUUAUGUAAGCAUCUUUUAAGCUUUGAAAAUCUUUCUUUGCUUCGGGACCCGAGUCCAACUUAUCUUUGCAUGUCAAUUGCAUGAGUGAAGUAGCAAUCUUGAAAUAAUUCUUAAUAAAAUCCUUGUAGAAGCUUAUAAAUUCAAGAAAGCAUUAAAAAUUAUGUACCAUUUUUGGUUUUUUCCAAUCAAUGAUUGCUUAUACUUUCUUUGGAUCCAUAAAAAGGCCUUUAUUAGAAAUAAUAUAUUCAAUGAAUUUGACUUGAGAUGCAUGAAAUAUAUAUUUCUCUAGUUUUGUACAUAAUAUAGCACUUUGUAGCUUUUUCAAUACAAAGCGGACAUGUUUUUUAUGGUGUUCUAGAUUCUUGGAAAAGAUUAGAUAUCAUCUAAGUAGAUCACAACAAAUUUGUCGAGAUGCUCGCAAAAUAUGUCAUUUAUUAAGUGUUGGAAUAUGGCUGAUAUAUUAAUAAGUCCAAAAAGCAUGACAUUGUAUUCUAAAUGUCCAUACCUAGUACAAAAUGAUGUCUUCUAUUCAUCUCCUUCCUUACUGCAUAUGAAAUUAUACAUUGUCAGAAUAGAGAGAAUUUGCCUCAAAAAAAUACUAGGCUCUUGGUUGUCACUAAUUGCUCAAUCAAGUCUCAAGAUAAGAAAGACCAAGAAUAUAUAUAUAUAUAUAUAUAUAUAUAUAUAUAUAUCACUUUUAAGAGCUAUUAUACCAAACAUAUAAGUCUUAAGUUUCCAAAAACAUCCAAAAGAUGAUAAAAAAAACUCUAAAUCCUAAUAUAUCCUUAUGGAGUACUAUUUCCAAACUUCAACAACUCAUUUUCUUAAUUGGACCAUUCAAACACCUUUAAAUUUUAUAUGAAGUAAUGAUGUAAUUUUAACAAAUAAUACAACAAAUUUCAAUUGCAAAUUCAUUGCAAAACUUAAGAUAUUACCAAAAUCCUAAUAAUAGCUUCAAAUCCUAGUUUUUAUAGCUCUAUAUAUAAUUUUCUUCAUAUCUCACAAACUAAGUAUUUAAAUGCUACAAAAGUUUUAUGUAUAUUUUUUUAAUACAUUAAUCCAUAUUUUUUAAAAGAUUUGAGUCAAAAAUUUGUCUAAGAACUCAAGAUAUGGCUCCAACCAUUACUAUGAAUUAAAUCACUUACUUACUGCUUUUGAUUUGGAUGCGCUAACUUCAACUCUUUAUAAUUUCUUUAUUUGAAUUAUAAAUAUAAAAAUUCAUUCAUAUAAGAUUUAAAUCAUAAAACCAAUUUUCUAAUUACACCAUUUGAUCUCAAAAAAUUGCCAUAAAACUCUACACAUGCUCAAAAGAGUAAUAGUAUAUCUUAAAAUGAUAUCUUAACUUCAAAUGGCUAUAAUUUCUUCACCCUAACUCCAAAUUCACUAAUUUUUGCAUCCAAAUUAUAGCUCAAACUCUAAACCUUAAUAAACUAGCAUUUGAUUUUCAAAUUUUCCUCUGAAGUUUCCAAAAACUCUUCUUAUGGUUGCAAACUGCCUCCUAAAAGCCUAUUGGGUAUGGCUUUUGAUCCAUAGGGAUGUAGAUUUCCAUUCCUUGCCUUCAUUCGACCAUGCCUUGCUUUUAGCCUUCCUAAUAAGCCUCCUAUUAGUUUAGAUUUUCAUCUUUAGGUUCUAAUCUCUUCUUAAGGCUUCAUACUAAAUAUUUAGGUCCUAUAAUUUUUUAAAUGCCAUAACCAAAAUAGAUAAAAUUUAAAAUUAAGUUUCUUAUAUCCACUCUCUUUAAAUUAAUCUAUUAACCAUUUUAACACACACCAAGAUUUAUGAACAUAUUAUAUGUUCUAAUUAAUUUUUAUAUACUAAAAGUAAUUGUAGUAUGACUACACCCCUCAUAGAUUAAUCUUUGUAAAGAUCUUUAUUUAGCUAAAUUGAUCAAGAAGUCUAGAUAUCAACGAAAAUGGAUAUCAAUUUUUUUAUUAUGAUUUUAUUAAGACUGCAAUAAUCAACACACAUCCAUAAAGAUCCAUCUUCAUUUUCACAAAUGAUAUCAAAGUACCAAUUGGUAAUUUAGAAUGUUGAAUAAAAUUCUUAGCCAGAUUUUCAUCAAUGUAUUCCUUUAAAGUCGCAAGCUCAUUCUAGAAUAAAUUGUAGAUGAGUUCAAAUAAUGGUUGAACACCUUCUUGAAGGUCAAUCAUACAAUUAUAAGGGUGAUGCUUCGAUAGGAUGUCCACAUUUUUCUUUUUAAAUAUAUAUAUCUGCAAAAUCCUUUUACGCCUCUGAAAUUAUUGUUGUAGCAACCAUAGGUUUUGAUUAUAGAUUUGCAUAGACAACAAAUGUAGUGCCGUGUUUGGCCACCGUUAUAAAUGAUCUAGCUCCAAUAAAUAAAUAUUAUUUAAGUUUUGGCUUAACGGGUGUUGGAAGCUUUUUCAUAGAUCUAGGAGUUUUAUGAUCUACUAGAAAAAAUUCUAACUUUUGAGAUAUUCAAUCUAUAUGUGGAUUGUAUUUUUCAAGCUAUGAGAGACCUAAAAUGACUAAACUUGAUGAUAAUCUAAUGGUGUUGAAUACUACUUGGUUGCUAUAGUUGUCAAAGGUUAUUUCUAAUAGAAUUGUCUCAUGAGUGACGUCUCCAAAGGAUAAAGGUCGACCAUCUAUUACUUCUACAUGUAUGGCUUUGGAUUUUUGAUAUACAAAUUUUGUGUGAUCUAGAAAAUUCUUUGUCAAUAAAAUAUGUAGAGGCUUCCAAGACACGUAGUGAAUGACACUCUAGUUUUGUGACUCCUAACUGUACAUGUAUAAUAAAUCAAUGGAAAAGACUAGCAAAAAAUAUAAGAUCUUUUUUGAUUUGUGAUAGUAAAGAAUCCAACUGCAUGGUUUCUACUAUGGCUGAACACCUUCAUUUUCCUGAAGAGCUUUUGAUAACAUGGCUGUACUUCUCAUUUGAUAUGUUUGCUAAUAUUUCUGUGAACAAUUAUUAAUCUUGUGGUUAAGUUUUCUACAAUAUAAACAUAGGCCAAGUUCUAUUUGAUAUAUAUUUUUUUUUGUUUAAAAAGAGGUUUGAAGUAAACUACAUCAAAUUAUAUAUCUUUUACUUCCAACUGCUCAUUAUAAUUAGACAGUGAAGAAGCUACAUAAUAAUUGGUGUAUACAUGUGGUAUAACUGAAGAACAUUUAUCUUGUUGUCGUUGAAGUAAAUAAUUAUCGCACUUCACACCUUGACUAAUGGCUUCAUUGAGUGUUUGAAGAUCUAGCAUAGACAACAAUAAGUCCUUGAUAUCAUUUCUUAAUCUCCAAUGAAAUUGGCUUAUCAACACAUCUUCUCUCCAAUUUAUAUUACAUGCUAAUUGUCAAAAUUUUGAGGCAUAUGUUAAUGCAGAAUACAUUUUUUUGCCAAAGGCUUUGAAUUUUAGUUAUUGGAGAAUGAACCUUAUCAAGUUUACUAAAUGCUUCUGUAAAUGCUAUAAAAAAAUACUUCAAAAUUGUGUAAUAUAAGAGAAUUAUUUUCAAAUAAUGGAGUAAACUUAGAUAAAGCUUGACAUGAUAAUAAGAUUCUAAUUGAACCAAUACGAGAUGCUUUAAUAGAAUAUUGUUGAGGUUGAAGUAAGGUAAUUAGUUGUACUUAGUUUACAAAGCUACAAAAUUAUGAUUGGAUGCCAUUGAACUUUUUUAGAAGGUUGAUCCUUGGUUCUUUUUUUUGUUAUUGUUGUCAGAUCAUUGCUUUGAGCAAAUGCACCUUCUAUGUUUCAUAAAGCAGAUAUAGUCAAUUAAGAAUUUAGAAUCUUUAUGACUAUUUGAUGUGGUGGUUGAGGCACUCCACCUCUUUGACCAUUAUAUAUGGUCAUAUAUAAUUCUUCAUUCUGCUUCAAUAAAAUCUCUCUCUUGAUCUUCAAUGCUUCAAGAGGAUUAAUAAUAGAAUCUAACUUGAUCUCUUAGGAGUUUGUCAUAUUGAUUUUUUCACCUUUUGCCAUAAAAAAUCAGAAAAAUACACAUUUUAAAGAAGAAAAAAAUAACCAAAAAACCAAAAAUAAUAAAAAAAAAACUAAAAAAAUAUUAAAAAAAUAAUAAUAUUAAUCUAGAAAAGGAUAAUUUUUAACUUCUAGAAUGUUAUAGUACUUCUAAGAAGCAAAGUAAUCCACUCUCUAUCAAGAAAGAUUAAGCUUCUAAUAUUAUUUUAUUGUAGUCUCGAUAAAUUAUUAAGGACCACAUAUAAGAUAAGGAUUUAAGACAAAGAAAUGGAAUUAGCUUGAUAUUAAAACAAUAACUUGAUACAAGGCAAGGAGGUCUUGGCUAGACUACAAGAAUUGAGUUGUCAAGACUAAGGAUCCUCUUAGUCUUAACUCCUAUAUAUACUAGGUCCUAGAAAGCUUCUUGAGAAGUUUUCAUGAGGCUUGGAAGCAAAGCAAGCUUAAGAUCUUUCUUCAAAAACUUCCUGAAUCAUCUAAAGCCUCUUAGAACCUUUCAAGAUCUCCUAUCAUCUUCUAAAACUUUCUUAGAAUCUAUUAGAACUUUUUGGAACCUUUUUAGUACCUACUCGAAUCUUUUAGGAUCUAUAAGAAUCUUCUAAAAAUUCUUAGAACCUUCUCAAUCCUUCUUCAUUUGUAUGUUUGUAAUAUCUAUUGUAUUAUAUUUUAAUCAAUGAUUCACAAUACUUAAGAAAAAUAGGACAUUGUGAUUUAUUCAAGAUAUACAAGCAAUAAAUAAGAUAACUUUUAAAAUUAUGGAUUCAAAUCCAAAUGUGGAUUAGUUUGCAAAGGCAUUUGUAAAGAAAGCAAUUUAUUCUAUGGAAGAUUUUUAUUCAGGAUAUGAUCAAUUUCAAUUGGCAAUAUGAAGUAGAGAUUUGACAAUUAAAAAAAUACCACUAGGAUUAGUCAAAAUGUAUAUAUUACCAAAAGGGGCUACAAAUUUUGUGGCAUGUAUGAUGAAUGGGAUGCGUAAGGUAUUAAGGGUUUUUAUUUAAAGAAUUAUAAUGUUUUUUUCUACAUAAUGUGCUAAUUAAAAAUUGUGAAGAAGAAAGAAAAGAUAAAGUAUUGGAUUCAAAAGAAUGCAAGAAGUUGGUAGCGGAUCAUAUUAAUGAUUGUGAAAAGAUUUUGAUAAGAUUAGAAGAAGUUUAUUUAACAUUAUUGAACAUAAAAUAAUAUUUGGAAUAAAAAAAAUAUUGAUAGAAUGGUAUAUACAAAGAUGUAGCAAAUUUUGUAGGAUGUUGUGAAACUUGCUAAGUAAAUUCAAAUAUUUGUCAUUGAGAUGGAUUAUAUCUAAUAUAUCUUUUAGAUUUAUAUUACAAGAUGGUGAUAGAUUUAGUGGCAAUCCCUAUGAGACUUAAACAAAUGAAGUAUUUGAUACUUGAAUGAGAAGAUUUAUCAAAUAUGGUUGGAUGACAAGCAUUAAAAACAAAGGAUGCUAGAGAUGUAUGCUGAUUUUUAUUAGAAGAUCUUAAUUUUUGUUAUGGUUGUAUUAAAAAAAAUAUAUCUAAUAGAGAUAAAGAGAAGUACAAGAUUUUUUUGAUAGAAUAGGAAUUAAGCUUUCUUUAACAAUAGCAUAUAAUCUAGAAGGUAAUGGAUAAGAGAGAGCGUUGAUAUUCACAUAUUAUUAAGGCAUUAGUAAAGGCAUGCAGUGACAAAGCAUAUGAAUAUUCUAGACUAGUACCAUUUACAUUAUAGGCUAAUUGAAUAAUCCAUAGUUUAGUAAUACAUUAUAUGCUUUUUGAAUUAAUAUAUGAAAAAAAAUCAAUAAUGCCAAUAGAAGAAAUAGUGCCUAUAUAGGAUGUAUUAUCUUGGAAGAAUUAUUUCAAUAAAAAAGAAAUUUUAGCAUUAUGGAUUUAACAAUUAGAAAGAAGAUCUAAUGAUAUUUAAUAAAUAAUAGAAAAUUUGAAAGAAGCAAGAAAAAAAAUAAAAAAAAGGUUUGUUAAAAAACAUUGACUACGACCUAACAUAAUUGAAGAUGGCAAUUGGAUGUUAGUUUAUGAUAAUAACUUAGAUAAUAAAUAUACUACAAUAAGGAAGUUUGCAAAGAUAUGGUUUGGACCUUAUGUUGUCAAACAAGUAUAUGAAAAUGAAACAUACUUGUUAUAAAAACUUGAUAGUACAAAAUUAAAGAUACUUAUAAGAAGCAAAAAAAUUAAGUUAUUUAAACAAAGAAGUGAAGACAUUUAUUUUAAUGAAGAAUGAAAUCAUUACAAGACAUUGAGAUGGAAAUAGAAGAGAAAAUUGAAGAUAAAAAAUUUAACCAAGAAGAAGAAAACUCUGUAUCAAUGUAAUAAAGUAAAUUUGGCACAAACUUGUAGAUGUACAAAUUUAAGAAGGGUGGAUGUUGUGAUAUAACAUAGCUAAUAAAUUAAAGAGAGAAAAAUAUUAUAUUAUAAAAUAUAUUAUUUUAAAAUAUUAAAAAAAAAUUAAAAAUAUAGAUGGUAAUUGAAAAGAUAGUAAAAUUAAAAAGUAUUAAUAUUGCCUUUUGCCUUUUUCCAAAAUAGGCUUCUAUUUAUUUUGUAGGACCAUAAAUAAGGUAAAACAAAGUAGAUUGGAAUAUUAAAUAAUGUAGAUAGAAAUUAAAAGUAUAUUUUAGAAGAAUUUACAUCAAAAAGCCAAGAAUUGAUAUUCAAAGAGGACCAAUUGUCAAUCCGGAUUGAAAUCAAAUCCUAAGGUAUAAAACCGUGUAUCUAUAAUAAUUCUAGAUUUUUUUGGUAUAUUAAAGAUUAGGAUUGAAAAUUAGACUUGAAAAAAAAUUGAACAUCAAUUUUAUAUCAAUUGAAUUAAUAUUGACUUUCUGAGGGAUUUUCAAAGUUAAUAAUGUUUUUGAUCAAUUUAGAUUUUUAGAAAUAAAAAUAUAUUUAUAAAUUUGAGGGAUUCUUGAUUUUUUUGGUGUAUAUAUAAGUGAAUUUUGGAUAAUAUAUUGAUGUACUAGUUGUGAAUGUGUAUGCAAAUUUUGAGGUUAAUUGGAUGGUUAGAUCAAAGUACGUGAAGGUUUUGGCAGAUUUAGGUUUCAAAAAUUAGAGUUUGAGGGUUAAUAAGUAUUUCUUAGAUCUUUAGCAAUUUUUCAAUUAGAUUUAAGUAAAAAAUUAAAUAAAUUGUGGAUACUAAAUUCAUUUUUUAAUAUUCUAUGUGAAAUUUAAGGACGAUUCUAUAAUUCAAGAAGGAGAUAUUACUACUAGAAGUUUAGUAUUCAUAUUGGAGUAGGAGGCCGCCUAGUACUUGAUUGGAUUAUCUUGCAUUUCUUUCAAUUCCUAAGUGCAAUUGAUUUCAUUUUUCUUGUGGCUGUUUUUAACUAAGACAUUAAAAAGUAUGCAAAUUUUGAAUUGAUAUCAAUAGUUUGAUUUUUAGUUGAUGAGGUUCUAUUUGCAAUGAGGUUUAUUAAGAAUUUAUUUAAGAUCUAAGGUUUGAUUAGAGUUUUGUUUCAGAUUUGGUCUAGGAUUUUUUUAGGAUUUAGAAAUUUAUUAGGAUAUCAUUAGAAUUUGAUCUAAUAUUUGAUUAAGGUUUGAUAAGGAUUUAAUUAGGAUCUAACCUAGGAUUUGAUUUAAGAUUUGUUUAAGAUUUAAUUAAGAUUUUAAUUAGGAUUAUAUUAGAAUUUCUAUUUUAGUAUUUCUUUUAUUUUGUUUUUUUUUCAUUUUUUUCUAAAGGUUUUUAUUUUUGGAAUUUCUUUAAGUUUAUUAUUAUUUCUUUAAAAGUUUAUUUUAUAUUUUUUAAAGAUUUCUUGUUAUUUUUUUUGGGAUUAGUUUGUGACUUCUUUAUAUUUUUUUAAUAACUUCUUUUAAAUUUGUUUUGGAUUGGUCAAAAUUCAAUCACGAUUUUUAAGGUCUACUUAAGGUUAUUUAAAAUUCUAUUAAACUUGUUAAGAUUCAAGCACUUACAUUAUUUAUGCAAUAGCAAUAAAGCAAUAAUUGCAAGGAAGCUUUGGCAAUCAAAGCAUUGUAAGCAGUGGUUAAUAAAAUUGACCAAUUUAAUCAAAGAGAUAUUUUAAAGUAUUUGAGAUAUUAUGUAUGAAAAAUAGAAUAGAAUCAAGUUUCAAAAAAUAAUAUAAUUGAGCUAUUUAAACUUGCUAUAAUAUCAGAUAUUAGAGAACAUAUUUAAUCAAUUAUAGCAUAUUUUGAGGAUUCAUGGAAGUCAUUUUUAUAUGUAUUAAAGGACAAAUAUUUUUUAAAGAUAUUGAUCAAUCCAUGGAAGUUGAAGAUGCUAUAGAAUUACUUGCAAAGAGAGAAAGGAAAAAUGAUAGGGUUAAAAUUCAAUGAGUUGGACAAGUACCUAAAAUUCAAGUGCCUACUUCAUGAUCAACAAUACAUAUUGGUUAACUUUCAUUGACUACAUCAAAAAAAGCAGACAUGGAAUUUGAAGAGAUUAUAUAUGAGAUACAAAAUCUUCAAAUCAAAAUUGCAAGGCUUAAAAAAAAAACUUCUAUAAUAAAUUCAAAUGCUAUUUUUAAAUAAAGAUACAUGUAAAGAUGUAUUUGGUGUGAUGAUGAUUCUCAUUCUCAAAAAGAUUAUAAAGAAUUCAAUGAAAUAGUAUAACAAGGUAUUAUUUUCUAAAAAGAUGGAAAGAUUUUAAGUACUCACCAACAUACAUAUUCAUAGGUAAAAAGAAAAUUAUAGGAAGUUAUUUCAGCUACGAAAGUUGAAAUUUUCUUUUUGAUUGAUGCAAUAAUAGUGAUUAAAAUGGAUUGUUUGUCUUCACUUAGAAUGAUUAUUAAUUACUCAAUAUCAAAUAUUACAAUAUUGAGAUGAAAUGCUUAUAUCAAGUCAUUAAAUUUGGAGUUUAGGCAUGUUAUAGAAAAAGACAAUUAGGAAGUAGAUGCAUUAUCUCAUACAAAAUAUGAUAGAAAAGAUGAGAUGAUUGAAGAUAUUGAUGAUGUAGAUACAAAAUUUUAUUUGUAUUCAUAAUUGUACAAGAAAAAUAAGUUAUUUUAUGAAAAAUAUUAUGAAUAAAAGUUAUUGGAUAUUGGACAUUAUUUGAGUAUAUGAAUUAAGUAUAUUAAUUGAUCAGUUAAAAAAUUUAAAGAGAUGAAAAAAAAAGCAUAUAGGUUCAUAUUAUAAGGAGGAUUUCUUUACAGUAGGCUUAAAUAAAAUAUUAGACUGCCACAAUGAAUAAUAGAUACCAAAAGAGAUCAAAAAAUUUACUCAAGGAGUUUUAUAAUAGCCUAUCGGUAGGGCAUAGAGGAAUUUGGCUACUUUUGCUAAAUUGAAAGAAUAAUAUGAGUAGGAGAAUAUAUACUGAGAUUUAGCUUUAUUUGUAGAAUCUUGUGUAACUUGUCAGAUAUAUUCAAAUAUAUAAUAUCAAGAUAGUCUACAUCUAAUAUAUCUUUUAGAUAUUUAUUUUAAAUAGGUUGUAGAUUUUAUUAUUAUAUAAAUGGGACUAUGACAAAUGAGAUAUUUAGUUUUGACUCAUGAAGAUUUAUCAAACCAAGUAGAAGGCAAGGUACAAAAAAUAAAGUUUACAUAGGAAAUUUGUAGAUUUUUGCUUGAGGAUGUUAUUUGUUGCUAUAGAUUUGUGAAAAAAAUCACUACAAAUUGUAAAGAAUUGGAUGCAUAUAAAGCUCAUGAAUUCUAUAAGAAAUAAAAAAUUAAAUUAUCAUUGACUACUACUUAUAAUUCAAAAGUAAAUACAAAGAGUGAACUUAAAUAUCUACCAAUUAUAAAAGUCUAUGUUAAAGCUUAUAAUAUAAGAAUGAAGGAAUGGCCUCAACUUUUACUUUAUGAAUUAUGGAUUAUUCAAAUAACACAUGGUUUAGUAACAAGAUAUAUGCUAGUAGAACUCAUGACAUUUCAAAAGCCUAUUAUAUCAAUUAAAGAACAUGUGCCAACUUAGAAUAUGCUACCUUGAGAAGUUGUAUUGACAAGAGAAGACUUUUUAACUAUUAGUAUUUGGCAACUUAAACAAAGAUCUAAAGAUAUGGAACUAGCAUUGAAAAGAUUAUAAAAAGCUAGGUUAGAGAGAAAAGUUCAAUUUGAUAAACAACAUCGAUUGAGACCAAGAGCAAUUGAAGAAGGACAUUAGGUACUUUUUUAUGAUAACAAUUUGAAUAAACAAUACAAUACUUUGUGAAAGUUUUUAAAACAUUGAUUUGGACAAUAUAUGGUGGUAAUAGUCCAUGAUAAUAUCACAUAUUCAUUGAAGGAAUUGGAUGGCACAAGAUUGAAGAUAUCCAUGGUUGAAAAACGAGUGAAGAUUUUUAAAAGACAAAAUAGAAAAUUUAGUGUGAAGGAUCAUGUUAAAGAUAUCAAUAUUUUUGAAGAAGAUAAUUGUAUUGAAAUGUGAAAUGGAAGUGUAUCGAAUUUGAGAAAUGAAGAUGAUCACUACCUUUGAUUUGGCAAUGAUACCAGAAAUUAGGGAAAUGGUGCAAUAGUUGUAUGCAAAGGCUAUAUCAUGGAAGAAAUUUGAAGAACUCUUGAAAGACGAAUUUUUUGAAGAAGAUUCAGAAAGAAUGACUAAGGUUAUUUUUUUGGAGUAGAUUGAGCAUAGGCCAGGGAAUAAAAUGGCUCCAAAUGAAUUAGUCAGGGAAUUUGAAAAUAAGUUUGAGCAAUUACCACGGCGAGAGAGGCAACUAUUAGAAACAAGGAAAACUAAGUUAUUUUUGCAAGCAGUUGUUGACUAUAUGGAAGACAAGCUUCUCUUUUAUGUAGCAGAUAAGAUAUUUCAGAAUAGUUUUACAAAUAAUUAGAAGCUAGUAAAAGAGAUAGUGGGACUUUUAGCUAAACAACAGAGGAUAAAGACUUAUAAUUUAAUAUCAAGGUUGGAACCAGUACUUACAUCUCAGAAUCAAGGACCACUUGAAAGGAUGAUCAAGACUGUUAAUGAUGGUACUCUUGAAGAAUUGAUCAAUGGCAUACAAGAUUUGAAGGUGGAAAUGACUGAGUUGAAGAAAUCCUAGAUAGAAAAUUCAUCAAAGACAAUUGAAGGCUCAAAGGAAUUUGUAGAGAGAUGUAUAUGAUGUGACAAUCCAAACCACAAGCGUGAUGAAUGUGACAGCUAUAAAGGUGUAAUCAAGGAUAGUAUUGUAUAUUUCAAAGAGGGUACGAUAAGACUCACAAGGUGAGAUGAGCCUUUAAAGACAAAUUUUGGAAAGGGUGGCAUGAAAAAAUUGAUGGAUGAACAAAUAUUAAAGAAUAAUGCCAAAGAAAGAGAAAGAGGUGAGACUUACUCUAUUACAGUUGAACAAAAAGCAGUUAAGGCUUAUUCCUUACCAACUAUAGAAGUUAUGAUCAAAGGAGCUGAAGCUAUAAGAAAAAUGAUUGGAUGAAAUAAUCCAAUUGAUGUUAUUAAUAUUAAAGCAUAUUUAUGUGGAAAAAAAUAUAAUGAUGAUCUGCAUGAUGCCAUAAUUGAGGAAAAAAGAGGCAGAACUAUUCAUGAGGAGGAUGUUGAACUUAGAAGCAAGAAGAGAUCUCCAAGUAAUAAAGAAGCUUAUGAAGGACAAAAGCUAGUUAAGGUGUCUUCUUUUGCUCAUCCUGGAGAUAUAUCAAUACCAAAGGAAUGGUGGGAGAAAGACAAAGAGAAAGAGAAGGAUGACACAUGGAAAUCCAAAGUUGAAGCUAUUAUGGUGGAGGCAUUGAAUACUCACACAAUAAAAGAAGAAAAAGAAGAAAAAAAAAGAAAAAGGAGAAAUUGGCCAAGUAUUUAUUCUUAAAUGUGAUCCUAUGAUUAAUAAUGGCUACAAAAAGGAAUAAGAAAUUGGCUCUAAUGAGGUUCAAGAAGAAGAGGUUGCAGAAAUAGAAGAGUUUUUGAAUGAAGAAAUUGAAAAUGAGAUUUUAUAAAUAUUUGCUAGAAUAAAUAUGAAUAAUAAGGGAGAUAUUAUGAAUACAACAUGUAUCCAAAAUCAAGGUGAAUUUGAAUAUGGAGGAGCACAAGGCUUAAAAAAAGAAGCCCAAACCAUCCAAAUUCAAGAAUGCAUGGUUGAAGAAAUAUUAAAUGAAAAGAUUGUUCACAAGAAUACAAAAGUACUUAUUUAUACUCUUAACUAUAACUUUGAGUGUGAUAAAGAAGGGAAGGUGGAUUAUUAUCAUUUAUUUUGGACAAAAGUAAAGCUUGAAAAGCUUGAAGAUAUGAUUUUAGGUUUGAUUAUUCAUGACUCUAAGAAAAAAAUCAUGUCUAGGAGACUUUUUGAUAGGAGAAAAUGGUCUAUUGAUAUCAAGCAAAAAUAGAUAUUGAGAGUUUCAAAUAAUAUGGAAGAUAUGAGAAUAGAGAUUUCUAAUGGUAUUUUAGACCACCAAUAUAAUACAUAGAAGAAAUUUGCUUAAAGACAGUUUGAGUCAUAUAUAGUUGCAACAAUGCAACACAAUGAAACACAUAUAUUUUGAGAAUUAGAUGGUACAAUAUUAAAGAUACUUAUAUUUGGAAAGUAGAUCAAGACAUUUAAGAGAAGAGAUGGUAGAUUUAUUUCAAGUGAUCUUCCAAAUUUUAAAACAUUAAAUUUAGAUCAAGUGGAAGAUGGAAAAGAAAUGGGCAUAAUGAAGCAAAUAAAUUUGGUCAUAUUGGCACAUGCCGAAAGAUGUGCAAGUUUGGAGGGGGUGGAUGUCGUACUGUAAAUGCUUACAGUAUGUAAAAAUUAGUUAAAACAUAAUAUAUAUUAAUAAAUCUAGAUGUGUAUUAGAGUGGCUAGUAGAUUAAACUAAAAGGAGUUGGUAUAAGAAACUUUACUUUUUUUCUUUACUUAUUUUGAUUUUGACAUUAAAAAAAAUAUAUAUAGGACCUAAAUGUUUAGUAUGAAGCCUUAGGAGAAGGUGGAAGCCUAAGGAUGAAAAUCUAAACUAGUAGGAGGCUAAUUGGAAGGGAUGAAAGCAAGGCAUGGACAGAUGAAGGCAAGGAAUGGAGAACUUCAUCCCUAUUGGUCGAAUACCAUGUCCAAUGGGCUUUGAGGAGGCUGUCCGCAACCUUAACAAGGAUUUUGGCGAAUUCAAAGAGGGCAUUCGGAGAUUAGAAGCUAGGGUUGUAAAGUUUAGGAUUUGGGGUACAAUUAGUAUGUAAAAAUUAGAGGAUUUGGAAUUAGGGUAAAGAAGUUAUAGCCGUUUGAAGUUAAGGUAUUAAUUUAAGACAUAUUGUUACUCUUUUGAGGAUACGAGGAGUUGUACAACAGCUUUUGAAGAUUGGAAGGUGUGAAUGGAAUGGCGAUUUUAAGACCUACAUCUUUUAUAAAAAAUUAUUACUUUUGAAGUUUAUGUGAAGGAGUUAUAAGGAGUUGAAAGCGGCGCUUCCAAAUCAAAGGCAAUAAGUGAGCGAUUUUGUUUAUAGUAAUAGUUGGAGCCAUAACUUGAGUUUUCAAACGAAUUUUUUAUUCAAAAUUUUUGGAAAAUUUAACAUUUUGUGUUAAAAAGCUAUACAUACAAAUUUUGUGGUAUUUGAGCUUAUAUUUUGUGAGAUAUAAAGAAAAUUGCAUGCGGAUGUAUAAAGACAAGGAUUUGAAGCGACUGUUAGGAUUUUUAAGAUAUCUCAAGUUCCGCAAUGAAUUUGCAAUUGAAAUUUGUUGUAGAAGUUAAUAAAAAUACAUUAGUAUCUCAUAUAAAAUUUGAGUUUGUUUGGACAAUCGGAUUAGGAGAUAUGAGCUGUUGAAGUUUGGAAAAAUUUCCACAUAAAGAUAUACAAGGUUUAAAGGAUUUAUCAUAUUUUGGGUGUUUUUGCUUACUUGAGGCUUGUGUAUUUAGUGUAAUUGCUCAAAAGGAAAAAUUUAUAUAUAAACUUAGGGCUUCCCUUAUUUUGAAGCUUGAUUGAACGAUUAGUGAUAGCCAAAAGCCCAGCGUUUUCUUGAGGCAAAUUCUUUCUACUCUGACAAUGCCUUUCUUGUUUUUGGUCUUAUUUCUAGAGACUUUAGUUUUCUUGUUUUUAACAAAAAAUAUUCUAGUGUAAUAUUAUACCAUCUUUAAGUGAUGAUUUAGUCUUUUUGAAUGACACAAAAGUGUAUUGAUCUUUAGUUCAUUGAGAUUCAUUUCCUUGACAUCCAUUAACAUCAAAAAAAGACAUUGUAUGCUUGAAAGGUUGCAUUCUUUGUAUACUAUUGGAGAAAAAUGUAUUGCAACAAGAUUUUUUAUUUAGUUAGUAAUAGUGGUAAGCUUACACAACAAUCUUCUAAAAGAUAUAUGAAAUGAAGAUUUUUUGUAAAAAUUAAUUAGUAAUAAAAUAAGAUACUUACAAUUUGACUAAUACACACUAAUGAAUCAUUAUUAUUGCCACAUAUUUGCUAAUUAGAUAGUAUAUGUAGAAAAAAGAGUGAAGUAUUUUUCUCUCUUGUAAAGGUAAAGGUUUUUUUUUUUUUUUUUUUUUUUUUUUUUUUUUAAUUCUUGUUUCAAGAAUAUCUAGUCAUUUUAUCUUUGGCAAUAGCCAUUUUAGUCUUAAUAUUAUAUCACCUUUGAGUGAUUAUUUAUUUUUUCAAGUGACAUAAGAAUAAAUUAAUUCUUUGAUUUUUUGUAAUUUAUGUCCUUGAUACCAAAUACAUAUAAAGAUAAUGUCUUCUUUAAGAGAAAAAUAAUUGUUAGUGAUGAUGGAUUAUGUGAUGGUCUAAGCAAUCGAAGUAAUGGUAGAAUUUAGAAUUUUGAGCACAAUAUUUUAAGUCCAUAGAUUAUUUAAGAUGAUUCUUUUGAUGACACCAAAUAAGAUGGAGGCCUUAACUAUGGAAUAAUAUUGUGUGCUUAAUAAAGCAACAAAAUCAAUCUUGACAUUAUUAAAAAAUAUAAAUAACUUAUUACUAAGACUUCUAUAAAUUCCUAUGCUAAGAGAAGGUGGUAAUAUCUCCUUUGUACAAGUUCAUAUUUCAAAUAUUAAACUUUGAUUUAGAAGUUAAAAGAAGAAGAAAAAAUUAGAUAAUGAAGAAACAUAUGGUGGAAAGAAUCUAAUAUUGCUAAGACCUAGUAGACUCAAAGUUCUAUGACAAAGACAAAAAGUUGUUCAAAAUAAAGCGUAUAUGAAUGAGACUAUUUAAAUUGUGCAAAGAAGCAUGUUUAGAGCAUAGUAAUCUACAGAUAUUCUUUAUUGGAAUUACCAAAAUUGAGUAAAAAAUUUGCUAAUAUACGAUAUUAAAAGAAGAUAAUAUUAUUAUACUAUAUUAAAAAUGAUGCAAUGUUGACCAAGAUGUAGAAUUGUUCUACAACGAUUUAGAUUUUUAUUAGAGUGUAGAUGCAAAAUUUGGUGCUCCAUAUAAAGAUUUGAUUUGAUAAUAUUUCAUAUGUUGUAUUUAAUAUUCUAUAUAAUAAAAGAUUCAUUUUUAUUGUGGUUUUUACAAUCACAAUAUUAUGGUUAUUAUAUAUUUUUUUAUUUUUAAAUACUUGGAUACAUAAAGCUUGUAGAAAAUAUUAUAUGAUUUUCAAAAUAAUAAUACUAAAAAAAUCAUAUAAUAUCUUACACCAAAAUAAUACUUUAGGAAAAAACUUAAUUAAAUGAGUUUAAUUAAUUUAUUUUUAUCAAAAUAUAGUAAUAAAAUUUUAAAAUAUUUUCAACAUAGUAUGUUUAAAUUAAAUUUUUAUUAAAAAUACAAAAAAAACUAAAAUGUAGCCAAUCUGUAUUUUAUUUUUUUAUACAGAGAAAAUAUCCAAUGAUGAAUCCUUGUUUAUAAAAUAUGUGUUUGAGAAAAAAAAUAAUGAGUAAAUUUUUUGAAUUGCAAGAAUUCUUUGUGGAAACAAAAGUAUCAUGCACAUUGAGUGCUGUUGUGUAUGAGAAUAAAAAAGUUAAUCUUUGAAGCAAGAGUGAUGGUUGAAAAUUGGGAUUGAGAGGCAGCCCCUGAACAAACUGCAGCACCCAUGUGAAUGUUGAUCAGUGCGGGUCCAAUGAGGAAUGGGUUCUGAGUUCCCGACCUGCCUCCCUCCUCCAACCUGCCCGCUCCAUCGUUCCCCUACGUACCCUCCCUUCGUUCCCAGAAAUCCGAUCGGCGGUUAAGAUUGAAUCUGAGCGGCCGCUCCGAUCCGACGGCCCACGACGGCGGAGCCAGGCGAUUGAGUUGGGAGGUUUCUGCGACACAAUCCUACGAGGCCCCACGCAUGCUUCCGCAUCAACGGAAAUUCCUGAAAAGCUCCGAUCGAGCAUUGCACACACACUCUCAAACAAGCUCUUUCAGCUUCUCCGCUCACCAACCAGGCGGACGAUCAAUCUUAGCAUCUCCGCUGCAAGAUCUCGCAGCUGUUUACCAAGCUGGGAGAUCGACCGUGUGACGCACCCACCACCGAAUUUCUCUGAACCUGCAAGUGAUGUCGGUUCCGAAGUACGUGAACAUGACAUGACAUGAGUAUCAUUGCUCUAGGGUUUUGAGAUUCCGCUACGCUGGGUCCCAUGCUCUGAUUCGUCGUCCAUUGCUGGGUCUUCCUCCACCAGUAUCACGACGUCGCCUGGACUGAAUUUUGUGUCUCAGACUGCAGAGUCGGACGCCGGUUGUUGUUACGCUUCCUCUGCCGAUUCUCUCCUCGUCGUUUCCUUUUAUUCCUCUGGUGUCGUUCGGUACUCGUGUGUACGCUUAUGUGUACAGCGGGGUUUGCGAGGCUGCAUCCCUUUGAGACAGCGGUGUGGCGUUGGCAAAGAGGGUGCGGUAUUGAGGGUGGAGGGAGACGUUCACCCGUUGAAUUUGUUCAGUUUUCUCAUCUUUCUUUCAGAGUUUUUUCUUUUUUCUUUUUAUAUUUCAUUUCAUUUUUUUUUUUUCUUUUUUUUUUUUCUUUUUUCUGUAUUUUUAGUGUAACAUUCUCAUGUGGAGUUAAAAAUGCUAGGCGCCACCAAAGGUUCUUUUAGACUUACAUUUGAAAGUUAAUAAGCUUUGCUCCCUUGUUGGGUUAAUUUUGUGGGUUUCUGUUCCAACUCCUUCUCUCUGGUCUGGGUCGUGUAGAAAUGCAGCUGGAUAUAUGUUUCUUUUAGCCACGGGGAUAAGACGGGAAGUCUUUAGUUUCGGUGCCGAGGAAAUGCUUUACAGGAUUGUGGCAGAACUUGGUGACAAGCUUUCUCGAUAGAAUUGUUGACUGGUGACACUAUUACCCUCUCGCGUUUCUUCAGGUUUCAGAUUCUGUGGGUACAUUGACUUAGAAAUAGCAUGUCUAACAUUCUGAGGAUAUGCUACUUAGAUUGUUUUAGUGUCUGCGCUUGUAAAUGUUUCCUUUUGACACCAUGAAACGUUCUGAAGUUUCGGCCGCAUCUUUUUCGUUGCUUUUACAGUCGAAACCUAAGACAAUUUUCUAACAUCUUGAUCUUUGCCUCCUCUUUGCAGGAUGAGCCGAAUUCCUUCAUACGGACAACGUAGAAUGAUGUUUUAUCACAAGCGCCACUUGCUUGGAACAGGCUUCUUGGAAGUUUUAAAGGUUAGUAUAUGGUUAUGUAAAGCAUAGUGCACUGUGUAUCUACGAUAUCAAUGAGGGCUGUGCAAGAGUGCAGUUCACACAGUACAUUGUAACAGCACGCUUUACAUUGUUGUCUUGAUUCGUCCAAGAGGAUGAGUUCUUCUACAUCCUCGUCGGACCAGUCGAGUUCUGAUUCGGAAGACACAAUAGUUCAUCGUAGUCGACAGCGGAAAAGAUUGGCACGAGAGCGAUCUGAGUCAGACUGUGAUUCUGACUCUGGUUGUGACUCUGACCAUGUCACCUCUAGAACUCGUCUUAGAAAGACACGAAGGAGGACCGCGCAACAUUCCAGAACCUCCGAUGAGCCUGCUGAAGGUUAACUGUUACCAACCUUAGAUUUCACUUUUUUAGACUGCUUCUUGUUGUGAGGAUGAUGAGUCUUCCCAUGAAAUUUGCCAUUUGAUUUCUAAUGAGGAAAAGAACAUCAUCUCUUUUUGAGAUUCUUUGAGUCUUAGCAGAAAUUCUAAUAGAAGAAUAUGGAACUUUGUUGCCGUAGUUGCUGCAGAUAGACUUAGGACGAAGAAGAGAAACAAUGCUAGAGUGACGGAGGCAGUAUGGACACCAGCCAAGACGGUAAGGAUAACUUACGAUAUCGGAAUGAAACACGCAUGCAUGAACCCUGUGCAUGGGAAAGCCAUGACAACCUACACAGUGUUGCAUCUUGUAAGCUGUCCAUGGAAGAAUAACGUGAGCAUGAUGACCGCCACUCCACCUACGAACAAGUCGAAGCUUUACCAGUACUGCCACAAAUUGUGUGAGCCUUGCCUCAACAAGUAUGGGCCACGGUGCUUUAAGUGCGACCCCCCGGAAACGGAGAAGACGCCCUUACUUAACACGGUGUUCGGAGAGGAAGCCAUCACCAGCGUCAAGGAUUUCCUGGAUUCGGUCCAGAAAUGGCAGCAACGUCGAGAAAUUGCCGAAGUUCCUUUUCUUGUGCUACAUUGCACCGUGCUUGGUAAGGAAGCGAGGUUGAUACGCCAGAGGUUUGAUUUGCGGAGGUGGACUGUGGUGCACAUUGUUUACUCCGAUGUGCGAGACAAGAUGGAGCCAGGCGGGAGCGGCACGAACCUCGCGGAUUCCAAGUUCAAAGAUUCCUGGAUCACGAUCAUGAAGGAGAAAGUAUAUAUUCAGAAUCAGCCUAUGGUGUCAUUCUUCGGCAACAUUCUCUUGAAUAACCUAACUUUUGAGGAUUUUAAGGUGCACGACGUGAUGGUGAUGUACCAGCCGAAGAUCUUCAAUACCUUUGAAGCACGUGCGUUGAGGGCGGCCCUCAAUUCCUUGUACACAUACACCCCGACGUCCAAUGCCGAAAAUGAAGCAAGCGUCUCAUCCUUCGGUAGCUGUCUACACGAUGCAGUUGUGCACACGCAACGGACGCCGGUUACGAAAGAAGAUCAAUGCCUGUUUGAGAAUGGCAACAUCGUAGCAACCCAGUUCUACAAGAGCAUUACGGAGUACUUCGGAGGGAAGAUAGUUUCGGAGCUCGAGCAACGAGCUUGUCUUGGCCAGGACUUGAGAGUUGGAGAUGAAGGCUUGAAGGUGCCCUUCCACUGCAUGUACAUUGCUAGAGGAGGUGAAGUGAAAUUCCGGCGAGGCACCAAUGCAACGCAUGAUGUCGCUCGACGAGCUGGAGAUGCGCGCUCCCGGAUAUGCACGAGCGACACCUCCGCAUACGAAAUUGUGUGUUGGACAUCAUGUGGUGCACCCCAAGGGGGCGAUUUCGUCAUCCCCGGCUUGAUGUACAAAUUUCAAACUGAUCAAGGCAGCGCCCUCAUCUUUCGCCCGAAACGCUUCUUCCAUGCCACGCUUCCGGCGGAGAAUCGGGACUUAGGAAACGAAAAAUAUGCUGCAGCGUUUGUGACUCCAAAAUGAUAUUUGAUGCAGAAUGCAACGCUCAAAACCCUUGUAUACAUCAACGGCCUCCACUUAUCUGUAUGUGUUGGACGGGUAUUUUGAAUGCUUUCAAUGUCCACCAGUACAUGCAAUUGCUCAAGUUUGCCAUUGUUCCAGAUUUACCGAACCGAAUUGGUUGUCCAUGACCUCUUCGAAUCAUUACUCUCCGGAGUGAUAUUCAUUCACUCACGCUUCACACAGUCGAGGCAGGUGCAUACACAGCACUUCUUGAGAUACUCGUACUCUUCGCUUGCGUUUCAUUUGCCUGAGCAAGCUGUUGCCUAUAAUUCGUUUCAGCUCCAGUAGUGAGCGCCUCUUCGACUACAAGGCCCUUGCACAUACUUCACAAUUCACACAGGCAAAUUCACCUGGGUAUUCCAACAUUUACUGGGAACGCUGGAGGUUGAUGCACAGCUGCAUCCAUCCUAAGAUUUGACUAGCAACUGGUGUUCUCAAUGGUAAGGCACAGGAUGUAACGAUAGUUACUCAGUGGUGGCAUCGUUGUCACCGUCUUGAAGAGGCCACCAAGGUAAAUUAUCUAAGCUCAAAUUAUUCCUGGCUACAUUCCCAGCAUGCACAUUCUAGUAGCUUUACAUACACUCUACUAACAUAGCUGCACCUCCACAUCGCACCGAGUAUCCAUCAAAAUCACAUUAAAUAGAGCUUCAAAAACAAAACAUAGAGCUCCCUGGAUCACCGGGCAGGGUGUUAUUUCCCAUAAGGAUCACACGUCAUAGCACAACUAUGCAAAAAAUUAUGCCAAAUUGCACAUAUCAAGUCCCC